rnacentral:lncRNA from 1 species
ACACGAUGCACAACCGCUAAGAAAGGAAAGCUUCCACAAGGUGAUACUGUACCAUCACUCUUCAAGCAAGGUAACAUCUUAAGGUACUUGACUAUCACUUUUAUUAGCUUCUCCUUGGUUCUGGCGUUCAUAUAAAUAAAAGAGACAAACAUGUAUGAUUUACAACUCUAGAUUAACCAACCCAAUUGAUUCAACAGGUUUAGUCCUUUAAUCCUUGUUCUUAGUACUACCUCCAUGAUCCCACACUCCUAAUCAUAUGAGCUAAAAUGUUACACAAUCAAUCAUUGAGAGAUAUCAAGAAAAAGAUAUAUACAUAGAUAGAUUAUCUUUCCAUAAGGUUGAGCGAUCUGAUCUGACAAAUGUUAUAAGUGCUACACUCAUGAACUUUUCAUCCAUCAACUUUGUCUUGCUCACUAUGCUUAGGGUUAGAGAAGAACAAAUACACUUUAGGUUCUGUUGGUGUUUUCCAGCAACAGGACCCAUGCACUUGAUCUCUGCCUUGUCUCUAUGAGCAGGUACACUUCGAGCAAAACAUGGAGGAGUUUUAUAACUCUCAGACUCUACCAAGUAAAGGACCUGGAUCUACGAGCACAAACACACUGAGCAGGUUACUGCCAAUGUCGCACUUCGAACUGCUGGGCAAACGAAGAACAUGGGUGACACCGUAUCAAGAGGUGCAGAUGUCAAGGUCUGCACCUGAAUCAAAUGACGCACCUGAAGAAUUAACACGGUGAGAAGUCUUGUUAAGAAGACUUAAAACAUUGAACCCUCGCCGAAAGGUAAGAUCGGUAGUUAUCCAUAUUUAUCCUUUCUGCAUUCCCUUUUCCCUUUUAAUUAUUUACUUUCCUUAAAUAGAUUAUUAGUUAAUCAUGCUAUCUUGAAAAGAAAAUAAAAAUGUUAAAAAUACUAAGCCCCAUGUGAGUAUACGAGUGGCAUAAAACCCAUAAGUACCUUCACUAUGGUGGCAUAAAAAUAAAAUAAAUAUUUCUUUUCUGCUUUAUAAAAUAAAAAUAUAAAAACAGGGAGUAAUAUUUAUUGAGGAAGCUCAACAUGAUGAAGGCUAGAUAUUUAUGCUAACACUUAAUUAGUUCCACGAGCUUUGUUGUCUAUUUGAGCUCCACAGAAUUUAAGAAUCAAGAAGACUAGCAGACGGAGGACAUUUUAAUCGCUGUCAGAAUGCUGCUGACUUUCAAAUACACCUCUGCCACCUGCUAGCUACAUAAAAAGAAAUUACGUCAAAAUUCAGCUUGGGGGAGAGCACCCCCAUUUAUCUCGCUAAGUAUUUCUAUCUAUCUUUAUACUUAUAUUAUAUUAGAAUAUUAAAAUACAUAAACUAUGAAAAACCAAAUAAAGAUUUUGUGCUUAUAUAUAUAUCUUUUGCUUAGUGUGUUUAAUAAAUAAAUAAAGUGGCUAUGAUAAUAUUAAUCUUAAUAAUAAAACUCUAGCAUGGAUAUGAUGAAUAGUUGCUCUGCCUAAUUUGCAAAUUCGAAGUUCUCUCUCAAGUAUAAUCAUAACUGUGAUAAUUUAAAGCUUGCUCUAGAUCUAAACUUGUGGGAUAAAAACUUGAUCUGAAAUCUAAGUUGUUAACGAAUAUGAUAUGGGAAGGUUGAGCUGUUGUUUAUCUGUUCCUAGAGAUGCUAGAAUUCUGGAGAAUUUUAUCUUUGAAAAAUCUUUAAAAUAUUGCAUGAUGAGUUCCUGUAUGAUGAAAGUUUAAAUUCCUACCACAGCCAUAUAUACAUGCUUGCUAGACUUUGAGCCACAUAUUUACUAUUUACUGCUUAUGAGCAUUGAGUGCGGUCAAGCUGUGUAGACCUUUAGGAGCUUGUCAUGUGGUUAAAUCAAGAAUUCACUUGCACAUUCACUCAUAUAUGCUACUUCUACUCCGGAAGUACCAUCCACAUAUAUCCACUCAUUUCCAUCUCCAGAACCACCCAAAAAUAUUCAACUCCUAAUCCGAGAGAGAAUAACCAAAAAUAUUUCUGUUUUUCCUUGUGAAAUAAAUGCUCAAGUUAUCUUGUUACUACCACUUGCUAUAUUAUCUCAUGAGAUGAGUGCUCUAAAAAAAGGAGAGAAAAAAAUAUACGAGGAAAUAAAAAGGGGCAAGUGCCCGGAACCUCGAAAGAAAAGAAAAAGAGUGAGACGAGAGGUCAAAAUGGACAAGUGUCCGAUAGUAGAAUUAGGGGUACAGGAUAUCCACCUGAGAGGAAAGAAAAAAAUGAAAGAUAGAGCAUCUCAUUCUCCUCAUAAAGUUUCAAAAAGCAAGGAAGGUAUGUAUCCCCUCAAAAGAGCAAAAGUAGAAUUGGACUUCCACCAUUGUUAUCACCAUCAUUACCAUACACCAUUCAUUUGCCACACAUACACAUCUUGAUUUGACUUAUUGACUUGUUUCUCUGGAUCCAUGGUUUGACUAUGCAAUAAAUGUCUUGUAAGUAUGUAUUAGCUAUCUCCCACCUAUGAGCUCCAGAUAUUAAAGCCUUAUUAGAGUAGGGUGAGAGAGAAGGCAAUGUCACUAUGCCUUAUACCACACAUACCACAUAUCUUGAGAGAAGGCAUAUAACAUCACUGCCUUGGUAAGGAUCUAGAAAUACCACAAAAGAGAGAUUUAGAGAGUCAUAGAAGGAAUCUCUGAGUUUUAUUUGAAAAUCUACAAAAACUCCAGAGCUAUAGCUGAUCAAGAAUAAGAGACAUGGCACUUGGCUAGACUGUUCUAUCUUUUAACUACUCAAGACAGAAGUGACGGUUACAAGUCCCAUGGUGAAAUGUAAAGUAAGUAAGUUUUAGUUCUUGACAGUUUACUCUAACUCAGAGAUGAGAUCUUAUUUAAAAGCAUGUGUACCAUCAAAUUUUUAAGAUAUUGCAACAACUUCUGAUCCAUUGCUGAGUCUAUCCUUACUCAGGGACGAGCAAGAGGUAAGCUUGGGGGAGUUUGUUGACGGUCCUUAUGUAUCAAAUUUAAUUAUCAAAUAAACAAAGAAAAGGAUCCAAAUGAAAUCAACAUCUAGACUUAGGGUUUUAUCUGAUAGAAUUCCACGAGUUUUGGUAUUUGUCUAUUUCUGCAGGGGGUUAUCAGGAAAUACGGAAGAAAAGCCCACACGUCGGGAUUACAUAGAGAUAUUAACGUGCCGUGCAAUUAUCUUACAUCUAGAAGACUCCAGAAGCCAAGGGAAGGAAGCGGAGGCCGAACGGGGCCAGAGGCAGGGCGCCCGCCCUCCUGCCCUGGGCGCCCGCCCUCCUGCCCUGGGCGCCCGCCCUGACUUGGAGCCCAAUCAGGACUCUUUCUCUCGGGAGAUCUCCACCGACCUAAAGGAUCAAGAAUAACUGUUCAAUCAAUGUCGGUUUGAUCCGACGGCCCACGUUCACUUGAGGGGACUAUAUAACCAGACCCCCUGGCCCCUGGAGGAGGCACCCCUUGAUCAUUAUUCAUUAUUCAUAGACAGAGCAAAAGCUAGGGUUUAGAGAUGAGAGCUCUCCUCUCUUCUCUAAACUAGAGUAGAUCUAGAUAGUAGCAAGAUGGAGAGUGAAGGAGGAUUAGAGGAGAGGCCGGCCUGUCGGUUCUUCCUCCGGUUGUACUUCGUCAUGAUCAAGCUCUAAUCAAGCUUGCUCAUGGGAUGACUCUGGUAAUCUACUUCUAAUUCAUUAUGCAAUUACUAAUUACGUAUGUUCUGGUUCACAACUCUUUUGAGUAUUCUAAUCUAUAGGACGCUAUAGGUGAGAGUUGUAGUAUAGGUGUAAGCGAGGUGCUUAGAUCUAGAUUACUUGUGGAUAUCCCCUGACUAGCUGGAUCGUGUGGUAGGCCGCGUAGGUGACAGUUACGUUGGUCCUCUGUAGUCCACCUCUCGUUAGCAGGACGGGUAGGGUUUAUCGACCUAUGGAUAAGCAUCCUUUGUGGUGUAUUCUUAUCACAUGGUGCGAUGGCCAAACUCCUUGGGAGGGUGCCCAAGUAGCAGCCCUAGAGGUAUUGCUAGAGAUAUGCCAAGAUUAUGGUGAUGAGCUAGUGAAUGGCCCAGCUGGAUCCAUCCCUAGAGUGAGUGUGACUAACACAUUUGUGUCUCAGAUAGGGAAUGAGCCUUUAAAGAUGAGAGAAACUAUGCUAGGAUAUAGCUCUAGCCCUGCCAUGAGUGCAAUGCUGGCGAUACUUAAGCUGCACUAUGUACGCCAGGACACCUACAUAGACGCCAUGCUAGCGCUCCAACAAGCUCAAGUUGGGCAGCGCAAACUGCGCAAGCGCGUGCGCAAGCAUCGCAAGGCUUUUAGGGAUGCACAAGCUGAAAUUCAAAACUAUCACACCGCUUUGCAAGCCUGCCGCAACCAAGUUGAGAACGCAGUUAGAGAGCGCAAUGAGGCACAAGCCCGCAUGAUGCAAAUGACUAGAGAGAGAGAUGAGGCUAUGUGCUUGGCUGAAAAUAGAGAAGCUGCUAGAGUUAGAGCCUUGCUCCAUGCUAAAAUGAGAGAGGAAGAGCUGAUCACUAGGAUUGCUGAGCUGCAGUUAGAUGUCCAUCGCUUAAAUAAUAUCAUAAAUCCUAUUCCACAUCCAGCCCCUUUUAAUCAUGAAGAAGCUCCUAGUGAGGAAGAUCAGGAUGAUGGCAUCAUUUCUAAUGGAGAUUCUGAGGAAGAUAUGUAGCCCAGCAAUAAUUCCAUGAUCAUGUAUCAGUUUCCAUCUCUUUGUGUAAUGGACAUGUAAUCUGAAUUUUAGUUGAGACUCUAUGUAUUUGGCCAUGGUGCCCCUCCUGUAAAACUGAAGUUGUGGCAAUGACUCUAUGUAACCCUAUGCACUUAUUUGUGAUGCUCCAUGUUUAUGUUGAGCUUAAAUAAUUCUCUGCAAUGUCCUUGACCCUUGCGAAUUGUGGCUGUGAAUGAUCGCGAGAAUAACCAAGUGUCGUGGAUAAUAUUCUCUUGUUGUACAUGGAUUAUUGUGCCUUAAAUUAUGUGAAUUUAUUUCAUUAAAUUCUGUAUGGCAGCAAUUGAGGUUCAUGGCAAUUUUAUCUGUUGUCCUAAACAGUCACUUGGUAUGCCUUGUGCAGAUGGCUCGCAAUACUUGCUCCGGUCACAACGAGGUGCCGCCACCACCACCUCCUCCCCCGCCUACGCCUACUGAGCUAUUGGCAGCUCUUGUUGAGGGCCAGCGAAUGCUCAAUGAAGCUAUGCAGACCAUGGCGCAGCAAAACCGGGGUGGUCGCCAUGUCCGUCAAGAUGGAGAGGCAAACUAGCACAGUAGUUUCAAUGAUUUCCAGCACACCAAGCCGCCACUUUUCAAAAAGGCUGUUGAAUCUCUAGAAGCAGAUGAAUGGCUCAACACUCUCGAGUAGAAGUUCCGCUUGCUGAGGGUGACCGAAGAACUAAAGGCGGAAUAUGCAGCCCACCAAUUGGAGGGCAAAGCAGGUGUCUAGUGGAGUCAUUACGGGACCAGCUGUUGACGGUCCUUAAGUAUCAAAUUUAAUUAUCAAAUAAACAAAGAAAAGGAUCCAAAUGAAAUCAACAUCUAGACUUAGGGUUUUAUCAGGUAGAAUUCCACGAGUUUUAGUGUUUGUCUAUUUUCUAUAGGGGGUUAUUAGGAAAUACGGAAGAAAGGCCCACACUUCGGGAUUACAUAGAGAUAUUAACGUGCCGCGCAAUUACCUUACAUCUAGAAGACUCUAGAAGCCACGAGAAGGAAGCGGAGGCCGAACGGGGCCAGAGGCAGGGCGCCCGCCCUCCUGCCCAGGGCGCCCGCCCUGACUUGGAGCCCAAUCAGGACUCUUUCUCUCGGGAGAUCUCCACCGACCUAAAGGAUCAAGAAUAACCGUUCAAUCAAUGUCGGUUUGAUCCGACGGCCCAGGUUCACUUGAGGGGACUAUAUAACCAGACCCCUUGGCCCCUGGAGGAGGCACCCCUUGAUCAUUAUUCAUUAUUCAUUAUUCAUAGACAGAGCAAAAGCUAGGGUUUAGAGAUGAAAGCUCUCCUCUCUUCUCUAAACUAGAGUAGAUCCAGAUAGUAGCAAGAUGGAGAGCGAAGGAGGAUUAGAGGAGAGGCCGGCCUGUCGGUUCUUCCUCCGGUUGUACUUCGUCAUGAUCAAGCUCUAAUCAAGCUUGCUCAUGGGAUGACUCUGGUAAUCUACUUCUAAUUUAUUAUGCAAUUACUAAUUAUGUAUGUUCUGGUUCACAACUCUUUUGAGUACUUUAAUCUAUAGGACGCUAUAGGUGAGAGUUGUAGUAUAGGUGUAAGCGUGGUGCUUAGACCUCGAUUACUUGUGGAUAUCCCCUGUCUAGCUGGAUCGUGUGGUAGGCCGCGUAGGUGACAGUUACGUUGGUCCCGUGUAGUCCACCUCUUGUUAGCAGGACGGGUUGGGUUUAUCGGCCUAAGGAUAAGCAUCCUUUGUGGUGUACUCUUAUCACGUGGUUCGUCCCAGACAUAGACAUACCCCUUUGAAGUAGAGAAACCAUAGUUAUCCUCUCUAUUCUGCUACCAUCGCCCAUAUACUAGAAUUGCUCUAUUCUCUAUUCCCAUAUUAUCACUCACUGUUAUCUUACCUUUAAUAUUGUUCUUAUUCGAUUCUACCAUCUUUCCUAUUUACACCUAUAUACUUAUCUUGGUUAAGUUAGAGCGUAGAUCAGUUCUCCCGUUUCCCUGUGGAUACGAUAAAACCUUUAACCGGGUAAAAGCUAUAACGGUAUCCGUGCGCUUGCGGAUUAUCUAUGUGCGUAUAAAUACCAUAGUACACUCUAGUGCCAUGCUGGGGAUGACAACCUAGUAUUCAAGUGGUGUUAGCAAGUGUCAACACUGGGAAUGACCCACGACGCACGACCUUGAGGGAAAAAGACCACGCUCGUCCUCCCCAUCGACAACCAACGACGGCACGACGCACGACGCGACAUCGACGAGAAUCGUCGCCGUCGGUAUGGGGACGUAGAAGAGCGCGGUUACAGCGCCCACCGCGGCGGGAGGUACGACAGCGACAAGGACCGGAUGGCCCCAGAACCACCGGGCCCGCGGGUGUUCAGCAGGGCAAUCCGACCCCCGACCAGCAUUGCAAAAUACAACGGUGAGACCAAGCUAGAGCUGUGGCUGGCAGAUUUUAAGCUAGCCUGUCAGCUGGGAGGUGCUCGAGGGGACGAUCGAGCCAUCAUCCGACAGCUGCCCCUCUUCCUCUCCGACACCGCCCGCAGAUGGCUCGAGGAGCUCCCGGCCAACCAGAUCUACGAUUGGGUCGAUUUGGUCAGGGUGUUCGAGGGUAAUUUCAAGGGAACCUACAUACGACCCGGCAACUCGUGGGAUCUCAGCAAAUGCAAGCAGAAGUCGGGGGAAACCCUCCGAGAGUAUGCUCGACGCUUCUCAAAGCAACGCACCGAGCUGCCACACAUCCCCGACCACGACGUCAUCCUAGCCUUUGUCUCUGGUACCACCAGUCGAGACUUGGUGCGGGAAUUAGGCUGGAAUCGCCCUCAAACCAUUGACGAGCUGAUGGACGUAGUAGCAAACUACGCUGCAUGGGAAGAAGCGGUCGGCGCCUUCUUCAGCUGUGAGGGACGGAAAGGCAAGCCGUCCGCCGAUGAUGACAAGGGCCCCAGUCGAGGACCCAAGAAGAACAAAAAGAAUAAGAAAACACGACCAUUCAAGCAGGAGGACAUCGACGACGAUCUCGUCGCCGCCAUGGAGCGCAAAAGGCCUCGAGGGCCCCCAGAAGGGGCCAUCUUCGACAAGAUGCUAAAGGAGCCAUGUCCUUACCACAAGGGAGGGGCAAACCACAAGCUCGAAGACUGUCGUAUGCUGAAAAAGCACUUCGACGGCCUAGGGUUCAAUAAGGACGCCCGUGACGACCCAAAGAAAGAGAAGAACGGCGACAAAGGGGACGACAAAGACGACGAAGGUUUCCCUACCGUCCACGACUGCUACAUGAUCUACGGUGGACCCUCGACGCAGCUGACCGCAAGGCAACGCAAGAGGGAACGCCGUGAAGUCUUCGCGGCAAGGAUGGCGGUCCCCCAGUACCUCAGCUGGUCGAGCACCCCCAUCACUUUCAAUCGAGACGACCACCCCGACAAGGUAGUCGCCCCUGGUGUCUACCAGCUCGUCAUCGACCCCAUCAUCGUCAACGCCAGACUCUCAAAGGUGCUGAUGGACGGCGGCAGCAGCCUGAACAUCAUCUACCUCAAGACCCUCGACGUUCUCGGCAUCAACGGGGCGCAACUCCAACCAAGCUCCGGCGGAUUCCAUGGUGUCGUACCAGGAAAGAAGGCGCUGCCGGUAGGUCGAAUCAACCUACCAGUUUGUUUCGGCACGGCGGCUAAUUUCAGAAAGGAGACCCACACCUUUGAGAUGGUGGGGUUCCGAGGCACGUACCACGCCAUCAUCAGGCGCCCGGGCUACGCCAAAUUCAUGGCUAUCCCCAACUACACCUACUUGAAGCUGAAGAUGCCCGGACCUAAGGGCGUCAUCACCGUCAGCUCCUCCUACGAGCACGCGUACGAGUGCGACGUCGAAUGCGUCGAGUAUGGGGAAGCUGUCGAGAGUUCCAUCAAGCUCACCUCGAAGCUCGAGGCCCUGGCCGCAGAGGCUCCAGAGCCCAAGCGCCACGCGGGUAGUUUCGAGCUGGCAGAAGGGACAAAGAAGAUCCCGCUCGACCCCAACAGCUCCAACAGCAAGUUGCUGACGAUCAGUGCCGACCUCGACCCCAAAUAGGAAGCUGUGCUCGUCGACUUUCUCUGUGCAAAUGCCGACAUGUUUGCAUGGAGUCCCUCGGACAUGCCAGGCAUACCGAGGGAAGUCGUCGAGCACUCCUUGGAAAUUCGAGCCGGUUCCAAGCCAGUGAAACAACGGUUGCGUCACUUCGAUUACGAGAAACGCAAGAUCAUUGGCUAGGAGAUCCACAAGCUUUAGACGGCUGGGACAAGAUCUGAUUUCGCAGCUCGCGGUCUUUUGGGACCACUAGUCGAUCUUUGAACCAAAGAAUUCUGUUCUCAUCGACUCGGAAAUGCUUGGUUUCUUCCUCUUUCAUUUUUCUCUUUAUGUGAUAGAUGCCUACAUCUGUCUGCUGCAAUUCAAUAACUCGAUUGUGAAGAGUACUCUCCAAAGAAAUCUGGUUGAGCACAAGUGGAUGCAUAAGAUGUGACAACAACGGAUCUUCCACUUGGAUUGAGUGACAGUGCACUUUCCGACUCAAGGCAUCUGCCACCACGUUUUCCUUGCCCGGAUGAUAGUGCACUUGUAGAUUAUAAUCUUUAAUCAACUCAAGCCAUCUUCGCUGCAGCAUGUUCAGUUCAGGUUGAGUGAAGAUAUACUUGAGGCUCUUAUGAUCGGUGUAGAUAUUACACAGAUUACCCAGCAGAUAGUGCCUCUAGAUUUUUAAAGCAUGAACAACUGCUGCCAAUUCUAAAUCAUGAGUAGGGUAAUUGACCUCAUGCUUUUGAAGUUGGCGCGAGGCAUACGCGAUAACGCGACCUUCCUGCAUCAACACACAGCCUAAACCAAUGCCUGACGCGUCACAAAAGACAUCGAAGGGCUUUUCGAUAUCUGGUUGAGCUAGGACAGGAGCUGAUGUCAGCAAUGUCCUCAACUUGUGGAAUGCCUCUUCACACUCAGGCGUCCAUAGAAACUUCACAUCUUUCUGAAGUAGCCGAGUCAUAGGCUUGGAUAUUUUUGAGAAUUCGGGAAUGAAUCGACGAUAAUAUCCAGCCAGACCAAGAAAACUCUGAACCUCGUGUACCGAAGUUGGAACUUUCCAAUCCAGCACUUCUUGCACCUUGGCUGGAUCUACCGAUAUGCCUUCUUCAGAUAAGACAUGGCCCAAGAAAGGUACUUUCUUCAGCCAAAACUCGCAUUUGCUAAACUUGUCAUAAAGCUGAUGUUCGCGCAAACGCGACAACACUAUACGCAGGUGCUCUGCAUGCUCCUCUUCAUUGCAGGAAUAUAUCAAGAUAUCAUCAAUGAAGACCACCACAAACUUGUCCAAUUCGGGCAUGAACACUGAAUUCAUGAGAUACAUGAAAUGAGCCGGUGCAUUUGUAAGACCGAAGGACAUGACGAGAUACUCAUACAACCCAUACCUCGUCGAGAAAGCUGUCUUAGGUACGUCUUCAGGACGGAUCUUGAUCUGAUGGUACCCAGAUCGCAAGUCAAUCUUGGAGAAUACCUUAGCUUUAGACAACUGAUCAAACAAAAUAUCAAUGCGAGGAAGAGGGUAUUUGUUCUUGAUGGUCACCGCAUUUAGGGGACGAUAGUCCACACACAUGCGCAAAGAUUGAUCCUUCUUCUUCACAAAGAUAGCCGGACAACCCCACGGAGAAGAACUAGGACGGAUAAGACCCUUCUUUAACAACUCAUUUAGUUGGGUCUUAAGCUCAGCUAACUCGUUGGGUGGCAUUCUAUAAGGUCUUCUAGAGAUGGGAGCGGUACCUGGAAUCAAUUCAAUUUUGAACUCCACAUCCCGAUCCGGAGGAAGCCCGGGCAAAUCAUCAGGAAAUACAUCCAGAAACUCACACACUACCGGAAUGUCCUGGAUAGCCUUAGAUGUAACUGCAUUCACCGUGCUACGGAUUUGAAUAUCACGAGGGAGUUGCACGAGAAAUGCCUCUUUGGUAUUUGGGUCUUUCAACAUCACUACGCGAGUGGUGGUGUCGAUAAGAACUCCAUUGCCACUCAUCCACUUCAUCCCCAGUAUUACAUCUAUGCCCACACCGGGUAGAACAACUAAAUCAGCAAGAAACUGACGGCCUCCUAUCUCCAGAGUUGCCCCAAGAACCACUUGAUUGGUGGAAAUAUCAUUUCCCGCAGCACUAAUACAAUAACUGCCCUUAUCAAGUGUAAUUGCCUUGAUGUUAUGCUUAGACACAAAUUCAGAACUCACAAAGGAAUGCGAUGCUCCUGAAUCAAAAAGCACAAGUACAUCAUGUUGAUUAACAAGAAACUUAACAGCCGUGACUACCUCACCAGCAGGGAUUGCUUCCACAGUUGUGUAGUGAACACGCCCCUGACGGACGUUCCCCUCAUUGCCCUUCUUUGGCGGGUAAGGAUAGUUGCUCUGCCAGUGCCCGGUCUGAUUGCAGUUCCAGCACAGACGGUUGGCAGGUGGAGUCUUGGCAUAGUUGGGACCCGUGUUGCCCCUAGGAAGAGCAAUAGAGUACCCCUUGCGAAAACCCGUCUUGGCCUGAUCCUUCUUCAUCGGUGGGCGGUAUCGCUGGUUAGGCGUUGGAGCACGGAACGGUGGCUUAGCUGCCACUGGAGCCUUGGACUGAGAUGACCCUGUCCCGGCCUCAAAAGCCCUCUUGCGAGUCUUGGUCGCAGUGUACACAGUGUUAUAGUUCUCUUGAGUGAGAGCAUCACUGACAAACUCAUUGAACAUUGCACACUUAGUGCGGCCCAUAGUCUUCAGCAACUUGGGGCCCAAACCCCGCUUGAAACUAGCAAUCUUUUUGGCCUAAGUGUUCACAAACUCAGGAGCAUACCUAGACAAAUGAUUGAAAGCAUGCAAAUACUCCUUCAUAGUCUUGUUGCCCUGAGUUAACUGCAUGAACUCAGUAUGCUUCAUCUCCAUAACACCAGGAGGUAUGAAGUGCCCUUUGAAAGCCUCACCGAACAGAUUCCAAUCAAUCACAGUGUCGGCUGGAAGAGCUUCCCGAUACUGAUUCCACCAGAUGCCUGCCGGACCUUGCAGUUGGUGAGCUGCAUACUCUGUAACACCCCAGUGUUAUGGUUGCAUUGAUCAUGUGCAUAGCAUGAGCAUCAUCAUCUACUCAAAGCAUAUCAUGAUCAUCAUCUAUCUUGAGGCAUGUCAUUCUAUGCAAAAUUGUGAUUUAAAUUGCUUAAAUAGGCCUCCUAUGCUUAUGUUUGAGUGAACAAUGCUUGUGUUUGUGCUUAAUGCCUUGGUAAUUAGUUUAUCUAUGCUUAACUUAACUUUGGGAACAAUGUCCAUGUUGAUCACUUCUCCAAAAUAAUCACUUAAGUCAUACUUAUGCAAAUAGGCCCUAGAAACCUCUUUUGCUUAGGCUUUUAAAAAGUGUUUCAUAAAAUGUUUGCAUGUCAAAACUUUCUACAGCAAAGUUGUAGAAAAUUUUAUAAGGAACAAAAGUUGUUUUAUGGCCAUAUCAUGGAAAUGAACACAAAUAGCUCAAAAGUGGCCCACAAGGCAGUUUUAGGGUGGUUUCCUAUACUUAGAAAAAUUUCUAAGUCCUGGGUGCUUUGCAGUUUGCUCGAGGGGGUGUUCUUCAUCUUCCCGUUUGAAUUCUAGGCCGAAUCAAGCUGUGACCUUGUAAGAAAUGUUGGAGUACUCGUGUAGCUCUCCAGCAUGGAGCAUUUAGCCAGCAAAAUCAUCGAGUGAUUAAGGAGUAAACUGUCGUGCAAAACCGAGUUUCAGUCGGUUUGGGGGAACUGAAUCGCGUCGUCGUCAGACAGGGGGAGCUCGCCGGUGUGCCGCGUGUCUGGACUCGUGGCGUCCGUACGUCGCCAUUGGCCCCGCCCGUCAGUCCUCCGCGCGUCCUUCAGCUCGCCACGGCGCCCCCGGUCGCGUGGACAGAGCCAUUCCGCUCCCGGUGUCCUCUCUCUCGCGCGCGUCGUCGUUUCCGCGUCGCCGCCAUUGCUUCGGUGAGCUCGCGCGCGCGCAUCUCUGUGUCUCCGGUCAAGCAACUCCGUCCAGUGCUCCGCAAGCCUCUCCUCUCCACCGUCGUCGAGCUGGUUGCGACUGCCGAGCCUCGGUGAGCCCGCAUUGCCUGCUCCGACGCGAGCUUACCUCGCCGGAGUUCCGCCAUGGUCACCGGCGUCAUGGCCAGGGCUCUGUAGUCCACCAUUCCUUCUCAUUCUUGUCCCAAAAGCUUCGCUAGGUCUUGCUGUUGCUCGUCCGCGUUCUCUUCUGCUCUGUCUCCGGCCAGAGACGCCGGCGGUCGGCCGCGCACCACCGCCGUGCCGCCAUUCGCGAGGGCAAGGUACCUAGGGUCCGGUAGAGUUAGGGUUUUGGGUACCGCUAGAUGCGGAAUGCAGUGGGGAGCACGAUGGUGCCCUUGGCCAGCGCCGAGACCUCGCCGUCGACGAGAUCUCCGGCGGUCAAGCCGCGCCUCUGCUUCCGGGUCACUGGCAGGUGGGGUCCGUUGACGCGCGGGUCCCCUAUGUCAGUCUCUCUUUCUCCUUUGUUUAAAUCAGGGUUUUAGCAGAUUUUGUGAAAAUCAUAUCUCUAGUUCUGCUGAUCCAAAAAUGUUGAAACAAAUUUUGUGGUGUUUCUUGAGAUGGCUAGUAUUUAAUAAAAAUAUAAAAUGAACCAUGUUUUCUGAGAAAUUAUUUAUUAAGGAUUUAAUCUUGUUAUUCAUGAAUAAAUGCAUAUCUAUUGUUAUACUGCUUAGUUUACUCUGAAAAUUUUAUGGUAGUAUCUGUUUGGUAUGGGAGUGCUUUGAUAAUUAUUUCAUUAUUUUUGGAGCCAUGCAGCUUUGUUAUGUAAAUUAUGACUGAAAUGUGGCUUGUUUCCUUAAUUAAAUCAUAUAAAAUAAUUGGUGCUUAUGCUGGUGUUCUACUUUGAUGGUAAACUUGUUUAUGGUAUUCCUAAGAUGUAAAUAAUCUGAAAUCUGUUGUUUGACACCAUAUAGGUCAUGUUUCUGAAUUUAUGAAAUAAAUGCCUUGAUACAUGUUAAAUACAUAUCUUUAUUUUGGUAUGUGCAAUUGCUGUGAAAUUUUUAUGGUGAUACUUUGAUGAUGUCCUUGUGCUUCUGUAAUUUUUAUAGGUUUUUCUGAGCACUUUGACUGGUAUCUUGUAAUUAUGCUCUUAUUUAGAAUUAAUUAAUAAAUGCCUUGUUAAGUAAUUGUUUUGGGGUUUCCAUCUGGUGUUCUGGUUGUAUUAUAAUAUGCUUAGGGUCAUAAGCCAUGUGGUUGGCAUGGUUUGUGUCUUGGUCAUGUCAUUAAAUAAUUAACUUUAGGGUUAAAUGCUGUUCUGGACAGCAAGGGAGCAAUUUAACUGUUACUUAAUGAUAACUUGACUUACUGUGAAACUUGUCUAAAUCAAAGUUGUUCUAAAUUUGUUGAACUAGCAGUGGUUUAAAUUUGAGGUCAUUUGGCCAAGUAGUUUAAAAGUUAUAGCUGUUCCAAGUUGGGUUCCAGAAAUAGGGGUUCUCUGUUUUUCUGGGACAGAACCUGGAACUUUGUUUAAAAUGACUAGUUUAAUGUUUGAAUCUUACUGUCAUGUUUGAAGAUGAGUUGUAGACAAUUUCAUAAGCUUUCCAGAAUGUCUUCACACAUGUUUGUUGGACCUGUAUAUCUUUAGCUAUGAUUUAAUUACUAAGUAUACUUGUUUUGUGUUGCUUGCUGUUUUGGUAGCAUGAUAGGUUUUGGGUUACACUAACUUGUUUACUUGUGUGAGCUUGUAUAACUUUUGCUCCGUAAAUGAGUGUCCAGUGAGUUGCUUGUGUUAUUAAGCAUUCAUCUGUAGCAUGUGCACCUUCUCAUUCAUCGAGCAUGCAAUAGGUGCACCGGACGUGGCAGUCUCCUUCGAGCUCCAAGCGAACCCCGAAGGCCAGGAAGGCAGCCAGGAGGUGGAGGUACAGCAAGCCAGACUCGAGGAGCCCGAAGAAGAAGUUGAGUGCCUGAAUCACGAGCCGUCAUCGUUCGUGAAAGGCAAGCCCCGGAGCAUUCUAUGUCUCCCUCUAUUUUCGAAAGUUUACUUAAUAUGUUAUAUCUAUUGAUGCAUUACGUAUAGGAGUUGUGAUGAAACUGUUGCUGCAUUCUACUCUAUCCUUGUCCAGAUAACUCACCCUCCCUGGUUGUAGAGUUAGGAUCGAGUAGCAGCUUAGCUAUGCUUUAAUCAGUAGAAGCCGGGUGAUAUCCUGUCAUCCGCGCGAUAUAGGGUUAUGUCGGAUCACGAUGGUCUAUAUGUGCAAUCGUGGAUGGAACCUGAUUAAAUUGACUUAAGCCGGGCGGAGUUUUGCAGGUUUGUAGUAACUCCGUCUGUGGCAGCUAAGGACCGAUCGUUGUACGUCCUCUUGUCAUGUUGAACGCAUGCCUGACACUUAGUUGGCCGGAUAACUCGUUCCGACCGCGAAGCCGAGUAGUAUGACUCAGGCCGGAAGACCGGCAAGUAUAAAGUGCGCACUACCGGAGGAAGUGCGGUGUGCGGGGGACCAUUGGCGUAAGUCCAAAGGCAGGUGAGUUAAAAUUCCUGACCUCCCUGGCAGAGUGGUAGCCCUGGGAGUGCGGCGCUGAUCGGAGCCGCGAUUCCUGAGUUGUACCAAAGGUGACCCGUUGGCUCUCCGGCAGGGGAUGCUUGGGUGAGUGCUAGGAAUAAACCUCCAGCUGGAUAGGAAUUCGAUUCGAAUCGCCGUCUCUCCCGGUUAGUGAGAACUUGACAGAGCAGCGGCAAACGUAGCAUUCACUAAUGAACUUGGUUCAUGAUAAUGAUGAUGGCAAGAAGAACAUAUGAUGAAUUUGAUAUGGUUAUUAUUGUUUGUAAUAAUCAAGUGAUGUGUUGUAGUACAGGUGCUAAUCUAGUGAUAGGCUGAUGAUAAAUAAAUAUGAUGCUUCCAAAAUAACUUAAUUGUAAUUUAAGCUUUUGGCAAAAGGUGAGUCAACCAGCUCCACUUAACAUUUAGCCUUGCAUGAUCCUUGGUGUCUUUUAUGUUUUACUAGACGGGUAAGUCUAGCUGAGUACAUUCUCAUACUUAGGGUUUAUUCCCAUCUGUUGCAGAUGACAUCUUCUAUGACGGUUUCUGCAAGACCUGUCUCCAUCCCGCUGGGGAUGAGGACUAACCGUUGGGCACGGUUCUCUAAUCUUCUCGUCUAUGAUGCUUUUGGAAGGAUGGCAUAGACUCUGGCAGUAACAAAACUUGUGAACUGAACUUUGAACAAGUGUGUGUAAUUAUUUUGCUUCCGCUACUUCGAACUUGAGUUGUAAUAACUUAAUGACUCUGAUGUGGUGCCGCUUCGACGGCAAUGAAUGACUAUGUAACAUUCGUUGUGUUUAUGUUGAACUAUUACGAUCUUGGUUUGUUGCGAGUUGGUUUGAAGUCCUUCGUGAUUUCGAUUGACUACCGGGAUUAUAUGGGCUCAAGUUUGGAAACUUGAUUGAUUGUCGAUCGUUUCUACACUUGAACUCUUAUAAUUUGGUCGAUUCUGUGACAGCUGGUAUCGGAGCAAGUUCAGCAUUAUAAAUGCAGCGUUUGUGUAUUUAAAACAAAAGAGUUUUUAAAUAAAAUGGUGUAAAUUAAUUAAUUAAGUUAUGCCAGUGGUCGUAUCCUCCUUGCCCACAUAAGGACUCUAGGUGGCUAUUUAAGUACUGACUUGGGGGGGUUUUAUUUAUGCAUCUCCGGCAGUACUCAGGUAUGGAUGUGUGACGACCGCACUAUGCUACCCUGUGGUCUAAUGGUGGAGGUAGCCUUCAUAUGUGAAUUAGCCACAUAUGUCGCUAGAUUUAAAUUAUGCAACGUCGCACCUACGCGCAGGUAAGUGUGAGCUGUGAGAGCAUGAUCGUCCAAACAGCGGUCUAGGGGACUGUUCGUGGUGGUUUUCUGGAGUGGUUACAUGUCGAAACCAUAGAACCACGAAAGAAACUUAAUUGGGGAGAAUUUAAAUUCUCGGGUAGCUGUGGUGUCAUUGUUUGUGCAUGUUGGGCAUGUCCGAGCAAUGUACACUUAGUUUACUGCUUUCUUGAGUGUUAUAUUGGGAAUUAUUGGGCUGAAAUGAAGUUUUCUGCAGGUACCCUAACAGCGCACGUGUAAACCGAUAGUUAUCGUAUCGAGAGACGAAUGUAUGCCACCAUAUAUCCGCUAGAAUAUUAAUUUUCUAAGUUUGUGAGGACGUACGGUUCGUGCAUGCAUCAUGUCACAUUCAUGCAUACAUUCUGUCUACUCCUUCCCUUACAAUGUCGUCCCUUUUAAUUAAAUAAAUGUUGCUUAAACUAAUCCUCUUUUACCCAUGGUAUUCCUAUUCCUUUCCACAGAUGGACGCACCCGCUUCGCCCCGUCCCAAUGACACUUUCUUGCACGAGUUUGGCACUCCUACCCUGCUCUGGAGAGUGUUACGGACUGUUGGGUAUACUGAGCCACCUCAGUAUUCUUGGUGGGAGAUGGAGAGCAUAGGAGGGAUCCAGUGGUUUGCUGUGCAGGGAGUUGUCCCUCCACAUGGGGACAAGCCUGCAUGGACAGGCUGGACUUGCAGCUCAGAUGGGCAGACUCCUUGGGAGGCAGCUCUGGUUGCAGCCCAGACUAUCCUGCUCGAUAUCUGUCAGAGGUGUGGUGACGAGCUGACGGGAGGACCAGCGGCCUCCAUUCCUAGUGCUGACCCAGCAGUCGCGGAGUGGAAACAGGCUGACGGUUGUGCUUUGGUUCAAGGCAGGGGAGAGAGAGCUGAGAGCUCUAGUCCUGCUAUGAGUGCUAUGAUGGCUGUGCUCAAGCUGAUCAGUCAGCGAGAGGGCAGCUAUGCACAGGUGAUGGUGGCUGUUCGCAGGGCCCAGGAGAUGCAGCGGAAGGCUGAAAAGCGUGCUCGCAAGUUUCGCAAGCAAGCUAGACUCCUGGAGCAAGCUCAGAAGGACCGCAAUGACUGGGAAGGCAUUGCGGAGUACCGUAGGCAGCAGUGGGUGAAAGCCAUCAGAGAGAGAGAUCAUAAGUAGGAUCAGAUGAGCCAGUUAGCUAGAGAGAGGGAGACCUUGCAGGAGCGCUUGGUGCAGCUCACCCGUGAGAGGGAUACUGCACUCCGCGUGUCGGAGAACAGGCGCCAAGCAUGGGAGAUGCACCGAGUUCAGUCGCUUGAGCGGGAGAACUAUCUGCAGGACCAGAUUGAGGUUGGUCUUGUGGAGAUUCACCGUCUCAACAACUUGCUACACCCUGUUCCUCGCCCUAUACCCGUGUAUCCAGAGGUGGGACCUCAGGUGAUUGUGGCCGAUGAUGAUGGUAUGGAGGUCGAUGGACCAGCAGCGGCCGCACCACCUUUGCACGAGGACGUGGAGGACGAGGAGCUUGAGCCGGUUAGCGAUGAGGAUGGAGAGGCAAUCUUCGACGCUGACUCGGACGACGAGCCUUGAGUUUAGGGAGUAGUGGGUAGUGUCUUGUGGGGAUCUUUUGUAGUUGGCAGAUAGCGGUGAUGCUUUUGUAACCAUGUUGUAAUCUGGAACCUUGAUCUUGACUCUUGGCAUGUACUGUGAUGGUGUAAUAACUUUAUGGACCCUAUGUGCAGUCUUUUAUGAUCGUUAUGUUAUGCCGAUGUUUUCCGUUGUGGUGCGUAUUGCGGAUAUCUGUGUCAUGUGUUGGAUUGGUGAUGUAGUUUUGUGGAAUUGAAUUAUUGUGCCUUUUCUGUAAAGAUAUUCUCUCAAAUACUUUCAGGCAUAAAUAUAAGUUCUUCUGCGGCAAAUCUUGUCAUCAUCAAUACUCACUGACUGUGUCUUUACAGAUGUCUCGUGGCACCCGAGGUGCGGAACAGCGUGCAAAUAUGAAUCCACCACCUCCUCCCCCACCACCAAAUCCAGCUGAGCUGAUGCAAAUGAUGGUGGAAAAUCAGAGGAUGCUCACUGAGACCAUCAAUCGUAUGGCAAAUCAGGGUGGUCGUAAUGCACAGGAGGGGCCAGCUCCUAACCAGUACAGUAGCUUCAAGGACUUCAUGGAUACGAAGCCCCCAUCUUUCAGAGAAGCCGAAGAACCCCUUCAAGCUGAAGAGUGGCUGAAUACGGUGGAACAAAAGUUUCGCCUGCUCCGGUUGACUGAAAGUCUGAAGGCAGAGUAUGCAGCUCACCAACUGCAAGGACCGGCAGGAAUCUGGUGGAAUCAGUAUCGGGAAGCUCUUCCAGCCGACACCGUGCUUGAUUGGAAUCUUUUCCGUGAUGCUUUUAAAGGGCAUUUCAUUCCUCCUGGUGUCAUGGAGAUGAAGCAUACUGAGUUCAUGCAGUUAACUCAGGGCAACCGGACCUUGAAGGAGUAUUUGCAUGCUUUCAAUCAUUUGUCGAGGUAUGCUCCUGAGUUUGUGAACACCGAGACGAAAAAGAUUGCUAGUUUCAAGCGGGGUUUGGGCCCCAAAUUGCUGAAGACUAUGGGCCACACUAAGUGUGCAACUUUCAAUGAGUUUGUCAGUGAUGCUCUCACUCAAGAGAACUAUAACACUGUGUACACUGCGACCAAGACUCGCAAGAUGGCUUUCGAGGCCGGGGCAGGAUCAUCUCAGUCCAAGGCUCCAGUGGCAGCUAAGCCACCGUUCCGUGCUCCAACCCCCAACCAGCGAUACCGCCCUCCGGUGAAGAAGAAUCAGGCCAAGACGGGUUUUCGCAAGGGGUACUCUAUUGCUCUUCCUAGGGGCAAUACGGGUCCUAACUAUGCCAAGACUCCACCUGCCAACCGUCCGUGCUGGAACUGCAAUCAGACCGGGCAUUGGCAGAGCAACUGUCCUUACCCGCCAAAGAAGGGCAACAAAGGGAAUGUCCGUCAAGGGCGUGUUCAUUACACAACUGUGGAAGCAAUCCCUGCUGGUGAGGUAGUCACGGCUGGUAAGUUUCUGGUUAAUCAACAUGAUGCACUCGUCCUUUUUGAUUCGAGAGCAUCGCAUUCCUUUGUGAGUUCUGAAUUUGUGUCUAAGCAUAGCAUCAAGGCCGUUACACUUGAUAAGGGCAGUUAUUGUAUUAGUGCUGCGGGAAAUGAUAUUUCCACCAAUCAAGUGGUUUUGGGGGCAACUCUGGAAAUAGGAGACCGUCAGUUUCUUGCUGAUUUGGUUGUUCUACCCGGUGUGGGCAUAGAUGUAAUUCUGGGGAUGAAGUGGAUGAGUGGCAAUGGAGUUCUUAUCGACACCACCACUCGUGUAGUCAUGUUGAAGGACCCAAAUACCAAGGAGGCAUUUCUAGUGCAACUCCCUCGUGAUUUUCAAAUCCGUAGUACUGUGAAUGCAGUUACAUCUAAGGCUAUUCAGGAUAUUCCGGUAGUGUGUGGGUUUCCGGAUGUUUUUCCUGAUGAUCUACCCGGGCUUCCUUCGGAUCGGGAUGUGGAGUUCAAAAUUGAAUUGAUUCCAGGCACCGCUCCUAUCUCUAGAAGACCUUAUAGGAUGCCACCCAAUGAGUUAGCUGAGCUUAAGACCUAACUAAAUGAGUUGUUGAAGAAGGGUCUUAUUCGUCCUAGUUCUUCUCCUUGGGGUUGUCCGGCUAUCUUUGUGAAGAAGAAGAAGGAUCAAUCUUUGCGCAUGUGUGUGGACUAUCGUCCCCUAAAUGCGAUGACUAUCAAGAACAAAUACCCUCUUCCUCGCAUUGAUAUCUUGUUUGAUCAGUUGUCUAAAGCUAAGGUAUUCUCCAAAAUUGAUUUACGAUCUGGGUACCAUCAGAUCAAGAUCCGUCCUAAAGAUGUACCUAAGACAGCUUUCUCGACGAGGUAUGGAUUGUAUGAGUACCUUGUCAUGUCCUUCGGUCUUACAAAUGCACCUGCUCAUUUCAUGUAUCUCAUGAAUUCGGUGUUCAUGCCCGAAUUGGACAAGUUUGUGGUGGUCUUCAUUGAUGAUAUCUUGGUAUAUUCUUGCAAUGAAGAGGAGCAUGCAGAGCAUCUGCGUGUAGUGUUGACGCGUUUGCGCGAACAUCAGCUUUAUGCCAAGUUUAGCAAAUGCGAGUUUUGGCUAAAGAAUGUACCUUUCUUGGGCCAUGUCUUAUCUAAAGAAGGCAUAUCGGUGGAUCCGGCUAAGGUGCAAGAAGUGCUGGAUUGGAAAGUUCCAACUUCGGUACACGAGGUUCGGAGUUUUCUUGGUCUUGUUGGAUAUUACCGUCGAUUCAUUCCGGAAUUCUCCAAAAUAUCCAAGCCUAUGACUCGUCUACUUCAGAAAGAUGAAAAGUUUGUGUGGACACCUGAGUGUGAAGAGGCAUUCCACAAGUUGAGGCAUUGCUAACAUCAGCUCCUGUCCUAGCUCAACCUGAUAUCGAGAAGCCCUUCGAUGUCUUUUGUGACGCAUCAGGCAUUGGUUUAGGCUGUGUGUUGAUGCAGGAAGGUCGCGUUAUCGCGUAUGCCUCGCGCCAACUUCGAAAGCAUGAGGUCAAUUACCCUACUCAUGAUUUAGAAUUGGCGGCAGUUGUUCAUGCUUUGAAAAUCUGGAGGCAUUAUCUGCUGGGUAAUCUGUGUAAUAUCUACACCGAUCAUAAGAGCCUCAAGUAUAUCUUCACUCAACCUGAACUGAACAUGCGGCAGCGAAGGUGGCUUGAGUUGAUUAAAGAUUAUAAUCUACAAGUGCACUAUCAUCCGGGCAAGGCAAACGUAGUGGCGGAUGCCUUGAGUCGGAAAGCGCACUGUCACUCAAUCCAAGUGGAAGAUCUGUUGUUGUCACAUCUUAUGCAUCCACUUGUGCUCAACCAGAUUUCUCUGGAAAGUACCAUUCGCAAUCGAGUCAUCGAAUUGCAGCAGACAGAUGUAGGCAUCCACCAUAUCAAGAGGAAAAUGAAGGAAGGAGAAACCAAGCAUUUCUGGGACGAUGAAAACGGAAUUCUUUGGUUCAAGGAUCGACUUGUAGUCCCAAAAGACCGUGAGCUGCGAAAUCAGAUCUUAUCUGAAGCUCAUUCAUCCAAAUUGUCUAUCCAUCCUGGUAGUAGCAAGAUGUAUCAGGAUCUGAAACCUUUGUUUUGGUGGACAAAGAUGAAGAAGGAGAUAGCUGCUUUUGUUGCUCGUUGUGACAAUUGUUGUCGCGUGAAGGCUGUUCACAUGAAAGCUGGUUUGCUUCAACCCUUGUCAAUUCCUGGUUGGAAAUGGGAAGAAGUUAGCAUGGAUUUCAUCAGUGGACUCUCAAUUUCUGUUAAGGGUUACGACUCCAUCUGGCUGGUUGUAGAUCGUUUGACCAAGGUUGCUCGAUUUAUUCCAGUCCGGACUGACUAUCGUCCACAUCAGUAUGCGGAGUUGUAUUUCGAGCACAUUGUUCGUCAGUACGGUGUGCCUCGGACAAUCAUCUCCGAUCGUGGACCACAAUUCACUGCUCAUUUUUGGGAAUGUCUGCAUGAGCAAAUUGGUACUCAUUUAGUCCGUAGCUCUGCUUAUCAUCCCCAAACGGCCGGUCAGACUGAACGAGUUAACCAAAUCCUUGAAGAUAUGUUGAGGGCAUGUGCUCUCUCUUCAAAAGGUUCUUGGGUUAAGUGGUUGCCAUUAGCUGAGUUCUCCUACAACAAUAGUUACCAGGAGAGUAUCUGUUGACACCGUUUUUGGGCACGUGUCCAGGAUGGCAGGAUAAGAUGACAGUAUGUGGUUUACAGGAUGAGUUGCCGAUGAGGAUGGUUGCCGAUGAAGGAGAGGCUGGACGUGACUAAGUUUACAGAUGAUGAUGUGUCUGUGCCGAUGACUAUGAUGAGGAGGUCUGCCGAUGACCAUGGCAAAAGAGUCUGCCGAUGAUACCGAGGGGGAGUCUGGAAGCUGCUGAUCAGGUUGUGGAAGAAUUUCAAUUUGUCACGAGGGAUAACUGAGUUAUUUCCUUAUUUGUUUAAAUCAUUUUGUAUGCGGAUUCCGUGUAAUUUGGAAUUCGAAUUCUGGUCGUGUUUAGUUAUAGCUCUUUGAGCGGGGUAUAAAUAUGGACCCUAGGGCUUUGUAAUGAGACAUCUAUCAAUCAAUCAAUCAAACACACGUUUUUACUCAUAUUCCAGCAUCUACUUUUCGACGACUUCGUCAUACUUUUUUCCUUUUAUUACGAGUUCUUAGGAAUUCGUCGACUUAAGCUCAGCGUGUUCUCAAGUUCCGUGUGAGUACCUCUUAGCCGUGACAUCCGGGCGCAUCGCUGUUGUCAGGACUAAAGUAUUCGAGUUAUCACCUUUGCCGAUUGUAAGGUCAAAUCGGCUGGCACGCCUUAACGUUUGAAUUGGGUAUUAGCCCUUUGUGUUUGCAGAUUAAUUUUGCACCAACACAUCUUUUGGCACGCCCGGUGGGACCAGAUUCAAGAUCAAGAUCGACAUGUCGAUCUCUGACCACGAUCAGGAGAACGUCAUCCCCGUGACGUAGGCCAAUCUCAAGGACGAGCAGAAGCAGGCUAUUGCCCAAGCCAUGGAAGAGUUCAAGCUACAAUGCCUGAGGUCUUUCAGCAUAAGCAGGAGCGGCGAGGUGAUUCAGAAAGAUGCACUGCCGGCACCACGGCAGGUCACCUUUGAAGCCAAUCCUGGCAAGCUUCAAGAUAUGGUUGACAGUGCUAUCAACCGAGCUUUGAUCAACCAAGCCGGCGUACUGUCUAAUACGGUUUUCAAUGCCGUGGCAAUAACUUUCAAGGAAGGACAAAUCCCACCAGAUUAUGUGGGCCCCUCUCAUCAUCAGCCAACAGCACCAGAGGUCACGGCUCCAUCGGCUGCUUUGACGGCUGCAAGUGCACAAUCUGCCGUCCCUCCAAGUACAUCGGGAGCUACUGGUGCACUAUCUGUGCCGAUGAAAACCAACCCACAAACUUCAAGUGGGCAGAAUAAACUGACAACAGACAUGUUGGCAUCGGCAAUGUCAGGGUUGACUCUUCCUCCUAACUGGUGGGGUUAUGGUAUGCCUCCAGAAUUGACGCCAGGAACAUCGCAGACAACCGACAUGAGGGGCAAGACUCCUAUGACAUCGGCGCUUCCCAAUGUGCCGUUGAACCAGAGUCCCCGGUAUACAACAACUACUACUGCAAGGCCUCACACUGGGUAUCCUCAAGAUUCAAUGUUCCAGGUGCCUAAUGCAUCGGUAGAUUCAAUGCUGAUGCAACAGAGGUCUAUGGCCCAGUCAGGAUAUGUCAAUUCAAUGAUGGUACCCAAUUACCAAUCAUCGGCAGCGCCUAUGCCGAUGAACGCUAAUAAUGGAUGGCUUGGACAGCAAGUCUUUCCACAAUCGCCCCAACAAAGUUACCAGGCUACGGGGUUCUAGCAAGGACAGAUCUAUCCCGGAUUCCAAAGUCAGGGGAUCUCCAGCCAGCCAAUGAAUAUUGGACAGCAACUCGGGGGACAGCAAGUCGGUGGACAGCAGUUUGGUGGUCCGCAGAUUGGAGGACAGAUGAUCAAUCCGAUGCUUCAUGCAGAUCACGUCCCGAACAGACACGUGGAGGUUCGCCACCAAGUGCCGGACCCGCAGCCGCCUCAUCGGCAGGAUGCCGAUGCACAUUGGGCCGAUAAAAUCGCUGAAGUAAUGAGGGAACAAUUUCGGAUAAAACCCAAAGUCAACACUUACUCUUAUCGGACACCGUAUCCUCCUGCAUAUGAUUUGAUCCCGCUCCCACAUCGGUACAAGGUACCGGAUUUUACCAAAUUUUCCGGGCAGGAUGACAUGUCAACCAUGGAGCACGUCAACAUGUUCAUCAUUCAAUGCGAAGAAGCUGGUAACAGAGACGAAUUGAGGGUUCAUCUAUUUUCAUCAUCAUUAUCUGGAUUGGCCUUUACUUGGUUCAUAUCAUUACCUCCCAACUCAGUGAUUACUUGGGCCGAUCUGGAGAAAUAAUUCCACAAAUACUUCUUCUCUGGGGUUCAUGAGAAGAAGAUCACCGACUUGGUCAAGUUGAGACAGCGCAAUGAUGAAUCAGUUGAAGGUUUCGUGCAGAGGAUACGGGAAGUUAAGAAUAAAUGCUACAGUCUGGUUCUAGGUGAUCGGCAGCUAGCCGAUUUGGCUUUCCAAGGUUUAUUGCCACACAUCGGGGAUAAGUAUGCUUCUCAGGAGUUUGAAAGCUUAAGUCAUUUGGUGCAGAGGAUUUGUGAUCAAGACAUCAAGCCUUUCGAACCCAAAAGAGCAUGGAACAAGAAAGUAUCAUUUGUUGAUGAAGCAACGAGCUCCGAUUCUGAUGAGGAACCAGUCAUCGGCUUGGCAGAGUGGGUCAAAAACAAGAAGCCGAUGUCUUGUCCUUUUGGGCAGAAAGAACCAGAGAAGUUCGCUUUCGACACCGCUAAGGCCGAUAAGAUAUUUGAUUUUCUACUCCAGGAAGGUCAGAUCAAGCUGUCUCCUAAUCACGUGAUCCCAUCAAUUGAGGAGUUGAAGAGGAUGAGAUAUUGCAAGUGGCAUAAUGCGACUUCUCAUGACACUAAUGAAUGCAAAGUGUUCAGACAACAGCUGCAAUCGGCAAUAGAGUCUGGGAGGAUUAAGUUUGACAGUUCCAAGACCCAGAAGCCGAUGAAGAUAGACCAACAUCCUUUCCCGACAAACAUGUUGGAUGCCAAGGGGAAGGCCAAGGUCUUAACAUCGGAAACAGCCGAUAAAAGUGCAUCGGUAGAUCCUCAGCAUCAAGUUACUACUGCCGAUGCAAAAAGUAAGGGCUUAGUCCAGGAAGGAACCAGUUCGGGUAGGCCCCCUCGGUCUGGUAUUGUUAUAACUCAUAGAAGACCUCGAGAGAACUGGCAGCAACGGGAAGAUCGGUAUCGGCGCCAGCAAGAAGAUUACCGACGGGAAGAAGAAAGUCGCCAACAGGAGUGGAAUCGACAUAGAGAUCAUUGGAACUGCCCGUUCUUCAUCCAUUGUUGGGAGGAAAAUAUUAAGCUUCCCACUGUCAGAGACUGUCCUGAGUGCAAUGGUUAUGAUCGGUACGACAGGACUGAUCGGCGUUAUCAUGAUGACAAUCGGCGAUUUAAUGGGCCGAUCAGAGGAAGAGCAUCAGUUCAUGAUCGGCUGGGGGGCAGGCUCAGCGUGCACGAUAGGCUUGGCAAUCGUGUCCAAUAUUUUCCCAGAAACCAGGAAGAACUCGAGGAGAUGGCUAAUGCACGAGUUCCCGAUGACUUCAUAUUUUGCAGGGAUGCUAACACGCAUCGAAUAGAGUCAAGGGAGAAUCGACGCCCAGCAGUAAGGCAGAAGCCACUUCCUCCAUGGUGUCCGGAAGGGUUGACCAAGACACAGAAAAGGAGAUUGCAGCGUGAAAGGCAAGAGGAGCUAAACAAGGGCGAGAACUCUGGAAGUCAGCAGCCAUCAGACACCAAGAGGGAAGGUCCAUCGGCGGGAGUUAACAUGGUUUUUAUAUUGCCGAUGGAGUUUCUUGCACCAUCCAGUGAUGAUGAGUUGGAAUUUUCUGAUCAGAUAGCUCAGCUGGCUCUGGAUCCGAUGACAGCUAUCUUUGAGAAACCUGCCGAUGACGAGAGACAACAUCUUAAGGCUCUAUUCGUCAAAGGGAGGGUUGAUGGGCAGCCAAUGACCAAGAUCCUAGUUGAUGGUGGAGCUGCUAUUAAUAUUAUGCCUUAUGCAGUAUAUCGGAAGCUUGGGAAAGGGGAUCAGGAUUUGACCAAGACCGAUAUGAUGCUCAAAGACUUUGAAGGAAACGUGUCUCCAGUUAAAGCAGCAAUAUGUGUGGAGUUGACCAUCGGCAGCAAAACCUUGCCGACAACUUUCUUCGUGAUCAGUGGAAAGGGUGCUUACAACUUAUUGUUGGGAAGAGAUUGGAUUCAUGCUAAUUGUUGCAUCCCAUCUACAAUGCACCAAUGCUUGGUUCAGUGGAUAGGUGACAAGAUUGAGAUUGUCCCGGGAGAUUCUUCUUAUGUCAUUGCAUCGGCGGAGGCGGAUACCUAUGAGAGGACCAAGUGCAUUUCAGGAGAAGUUUGGGAGAAAGAUUUUCUCAAAGUUGCCGAUUACGAGAUUCCACCGAUCCAAGCAGUCGGUUCUGAUGACGGUUUUUAAUGGAUAGAUUCGCCGAUGAUGGAAAAUUAGGCCAGGGAUUCACAUCGGCCGAUGAUUUGGUAGAAGUAGAUAUAGGUAGUGGUGAUAAGCCUAGACCUACUUUUAUUAGUGCUAAAUUAAAUCCUGAGUGUAAGCAACAAUUAACCGAUUUAUUAAAGGAAUAUAAAGAUUGCUUUGCUUGGGAUUAUACCGAGAUGCCUGGUUUAGACCGAUCAAUUGUUGAACAUCGGUUACCCAUCAAGUCUGGAUUUCGGCCACAUCAGCAGUCAGCUCGCCAAUGUAAUCCUAAUAUUCUACCUGAUAUUAAGGCCGAAAUCACCAGACUCAUUGAAGCUAAGUUUAUUCGGCAGUGUCGGUAUGCCGAAUGGAUUUCCAAUGUUGUUCCGGUUUACAAGAAAAACGGGAAGCUUCGGGUGUGCAUUGAUUUCAGGAAUCUCAAUAAAGCUACACCGAUGGAUGGAUACCCAAUGCCUGUUGCCGAUCUGUUGGUUGAUGCUGCGGCCGGUCAUCGGGUCAUUAGCUUUAUGGACGGCAAUGCAGGAUACAAUCAAAUAUUCAUGGCAGAGGAAGAUAUUCCAAAAACUGCAUUUAGGUGUCCUAGUCAUGUCGGUUUAUUUGAAUGGAUAGUCAUGACCUUUGGGUUGAAGAAUGCUGGUGCUACUUAUCAAAGGGCCAUGAAUUUUACAUUUCAUGAGUUCAUCGGCAAGCUGGUGGAGAUCUAUAUUGAUGAUGUGGUGGUUAAGUCUGGGGAUUUCUCAAAGCAUCUUGUCGACUUACAAAAGGUGUUAGAGUGCACAAGGAAGCAUGGGUUGAAGAUGAAUCCCAAUAAGUGUGCAUUUGGUGUAUCGGCAGGGCAGUUUCCUGGUUUCAUGGUACAUCAAAGGGGUAUUGAAAUUAGUCGAAGAUCUAUUGAUGCUAUCAAUAAAAUUGUGGCCCCUACCAACAAGACUGAGCUCCAAUCCUUGAUCGGCAAGGUAAAUUUUAUUAGGAGAUUUAUAUCCAAUCUGUCAGGUAAAAUUCGUGCUUUCAGUCCUCUUCUUAAAUUGAAAGCCGAUCAAGAAUUUAUUUGGGGAAAAGAGCAGCAGUUGGCUUUGGAUGAAAUCAAGAAAUAUCUAGUGAAUCCUGCAGUUCUAGUUCCACCUCAACAAGGAAAACCCUUCAGAUUGUAUUUGUCUACCGAUGGGACGGUUAUCGGUUCAGCUUUGGUCCAAGAAUUUGAAGGGAAAGAGAGGGUAAUUUACUACUUAAGCAGGAGAUUAAUUGAUGCUGAGACCAGGUAUUCGGCCAUUGAGAAGUUAUGCUUAUAUUUUUCGUGUAUUAAAUUGAGGCACUAUUUAUUAUCGACCGAAUGCACUGUUGUUUGCAAAGAUGAUGUGGUCCGAUACAUGCUGUCUAUGCCGAUUAUGAGUGGCAGGAUCGGUAAAUGGAUUUUAGCACUGUCGGAGUUCGAUCUGUGUUACGAAUCGGCUAAGGCAGUUAAAGGACAGAUUAUGGCUGAUUUUGUGACUCAGCAUUGCGGUGUAGUGGAGGCCUUGGAAAUUGUGCCCUGGACACUUUUCUUUGAUGGAUCUACAUGUGACGGGGGGGCAGGAAUCGGCAUUGUAUUAGUUUCCACUAAGGGGAAGAAGUAUGAAUUUUCCUUGCCGAUUGUUGCUACAUCGACAAAUAAUCAGGCUGAGUAUCAGGCUCUGAUCAAGGGAUUGGAAUUGUUAAGAGAAGUUCGUGCUGAUGCUGUUGAAAUUUUUGGGAAUUCUAUGUUGGUUAUAAAUCAAUUGGCCGGGAGCUAUGAAUGCCGAAGUGAAGCUCUCGUAACUCAUUUCGAGAAAAGCAUGCGACUGUUGAAAGAAUUCAAAGAUUUCCGAUUAGAGCAUAUUCCUCGAUUGCAUAAUGAAGAGGCCAAUCGGUUAGCUCAGCAUGCCUCGGGAUAUCAGCCUAUGAUUAAUACAAUAUCGGCAAUCGGUGCCGAUGAUUGGAGGAAGGAAAUUAUUGAUUAUCUAAAGGAUCCAUCCAAGAAAGUUGAAAGACGAGUUCGAUUUCAAGCAACCAAAUAUGUGCUCCUCGAAGAUGAAUUGUAUUAUCGAACUACUGAUGGAAUUCUUCUCCGAUGUUUGGGUGAUGAUGAAGCUAGGAGUUUGAUGGGAGAAAUCCAUGAAGGGGUAUGUGGAGCACAUCAGUCGGCUUUCAAAAUGAAAUGGAUGAUUAGAAGGAAUGGAUAUUUUUGGCAGACUAUAAUUGAGGAUUGCUUUAAGUAUUUCAGGGGAUGUCAAGGUUGUCAAAAGUUUGGUAACAUUCAAAGAGCACCCGCAUCGGCUAUGAAUCCUAUUAUCAAGCCUUGGCCGUUUCGGGGUUGGGCUAUCGAUCUGAUCAGCCAGAUUUAUCCACCAUCUAGUAAGGGGCAUAAAUUUAUUUUGGUUGCCACUGAUUAUUUCACUAAAUGGGUUGAAGCUAUUCCUUUGAAGAAGGUCACCUCGGCCAAUAUGAUUGAUUUUGUGAAGGAACACAUUAUUUACCGAUUUGGGAUUCCUCACACAAUUACUACCGAUCAGGGCACUAUGUUCACAUCGGGGGAGUUUGAUGAAUUCGCAAUCGGUAUGGGGAUUAAAGUAUUGAAUUCUUCUCCUUAUUAUGCUCAAGCCAAUGGGCAGGCCGAAGCAUCUAACAAAGGGAUUAUCAAGCUUAUUAAACGAAAGAUUGAAGAAAAUCCUAAGCGGUGGCAUACAUUGUUAAAUGAAGCACUGUGGUCUUAUCGAAUGGCUUGUCAUGGAUCAACCAAGGUGUCACCCUAUCAAUUGGUGUAUGGACAUGAUGCAGUGUUGCCUUGGGAGAUUAAGGCCGGAUCCAGGCGAUUAUCUUUUCAAGAUCGGUUAACCGCCGAUAAUUAUGCUACUUUGAUGACCGAUGAGUUGGAUGAUCUAGCAGGGCAUCGGUUAAAAGCUUUAAUGAGUAUAGAAGAAAAUAAGAAGAGAGUUGCUAGAUGGUAUGAUAAGAAAGUGAAGGCUAAGGAGUUUGUCGAUGGGGAUUUGGUAUGGAAAUUAGUUUUGCCAGUCGGGACUAAAAGUGCGAAGUUUGGAAAGUGGUCUCCUAAUUGGGAAGGUCCUUAUCGGAUAAGUCGAUCGACUCCUGGUAAUGCCUAUAUUCUAGAAACUCUCGAAGGAGUUGAAUUUCCUAGAGCAUUAAAUGGCAAAUAUUUAAAGAAGUACUACCCCAGCAUAUGGGUCGAUGCAUAAAAGUUUAAAUGCCGAUAACACUCCUAUCGGCUGGAUUCAAAUGUUUAGGGGCUUAGAGUUUCAAAAGAUGCCGAUAACAGUCCUAUCGGCUAGACUAAAAGCUGAGGAAGCAGGAAAGCACAGAUAUGAUGCCUAUGAAAACUUUAUGUGUUAAGCAGCACCUGGAUUGCCGAUAUACCACGUAGCCGGAUUUGGUUGGCUGCUUCUAUCUCCUUAAUGUCAUCAUCGGCAAAACCCUCUAUCGGCUUCAGUUUCUUCUUCAGUUGAAGUGCCUUGCGACCAUGAAAAUUUCGCUCAUGUUCGAGAAGCUUGAUGGUCUCUGGCAGUUGGCUCUCUUCCUGUUGAGCUUGGGAUAAGGCGUCCUCCACUUCCUUAAGUUCUGCCAACAAGGAUUCUCUUCUUGCCGAUAGAUCGGAUAUUUUCUGCUUCAGCGCGUCUCCUGACGAUCUCAGGAUGCCGAUGUUCUUGUGCUUCUCAUCGGUCAAGAGCUUCUCUUUCCUCAUUUCGUCAGAGAGUUGAGUCUGAGCAGCUCUAUCGGCAAGACGCCGAGAAGCUCUCUGGUACUGCAGCUGCCGACUCUCCAAAUGAGCGGCUUGGAAAAGGGUUUCUUCGACAUCGGCUGGGAUUUGGCCUCUGAGAGUUCUGAACAGGGUCUUGGUAGGGUCGGAGUCGUCAACCAACUGCGCUGUGUCCUGGUGAAGGAGAGCUGACAAUUGCUCCAGUCUGGUCCUGAUCUCUGCCGAUGUAAUGCCAACUGUCUGAGAAGAGCUUGCCUCUUCGCCUUCUUCUUCAGAGAGAUCGAUGGCGAAGGAAAACAGGCUGUCGGGAGAAUCUUGUUCCUGGAGGGAGAGCAAAGUUAGUUCAUACUCGGAGAAUCAGCAAAUAAUGCUGGUAAAGGUUGGGUGGCUUACUUGUUUUAAGGCUAUUUCCUGCCUCUGUCUGAAAGAUGCCGAUGGAGAUGCAGGAUGAUCGGCUACGGUUGCCGAUGGGACGAUAUCGACUGAAAAAGACAGGAAGGGUUAUGAGACUAAAUGAGAAUAAGUUUAUCGGCAGAAGAGACAUCUAGACCAGUGAGCAUAGCUACAUCGGCAAGAGUGGGAGAAACAGGGCCGUGGCCAAAGACGAAAGCAUUAAGAGUAUCUGACCAAAAAUAAGACGUAGCUGUCAACAGCGACUCGUUCUUGUGCAUAUCGGCAAUAGAUAGCCUGAUGCAUUGGGCUAGCUUCCUUUCACCCCACUGGACUUCAUUCGAAUUGCUGACUCUUAAGAACCAGUCUUUCCACCCUACAGUAGGGCUGGGCCAAGAGCGAAAGGUGUCUUUCCACAGAUCUAAAGAAAAAGUUUCGGCUCUAAAGGAAAUCCUGUUGGUUUCUGCAUUGAUAAGGUCAGUUGGAUCUGGAUCCCCUAGUGGGCCGAGACACUGGAGGUGUGGUUGAUCGGUGGGGAUGACAAUUUUGUUGGAUAACUCCUAGUGUUUUGGGGAAUAAAAAUACAAAGAAAAAGGAAAAGGAAAAUAUUUAGUAAGAUGAAUCGCGGAUGAACAGGAAUACAAAAAAAAAUACAGAAGAUGAGAUGGAGAUCUGACCUCAGGGACGACGAAGCCAAUGGCCAUCUUGUCGUGAAGAGGACGUUUGAGGGCACCGGAGUUGAUGAAGAGGAGUGCUUGUCGGAGGUCUCGAAGGUUGUGAAUUGCGCCGCCGCUGGAAAAGUAAAAGUAGGGAUGGUGAAAUGAUGUGAUGGAGAAGGAGUACCCGAGAAGGAACUAUUUAUAGGAUAAACGGGCAAGGGCAAAUCUGACUUAUCUCUUUGCCGCAUCCGAGAGACCCGGGGAUGCUCAGGUAGAUAUGGUAACUGUUCGCACGGUAAUCAAGGGAUUGUGCAGGUGAUUUGACGGGGAGCGGUCAUUACUUGGAGAUAUUUUAAUGUACGGGAUCUUCUGGUCGGUCCAUCGGCAGCAUACUGUAAUGGUCAUAUUGCCGAUGGGCGGAUAAAGUAAAAGGUAGCCAUUUAUACGAACGUCCUGAUUAGUCCAUCGGUAGAUCUUCGUAACGGUAAUAUUGCCGAUGUGCGGAUGAGAAGGAAGUGCCCGUUCAGGAAGUUGAGGAUUUCGAGGAAUUUGCAGGAGAAUAGGAUCGGAGUUGUUUGGAUUGAGGUUGUCGGUUACCAGAUUAGGAGCAUUAAUUGCGGGAAAAGGCAUCAUUACUGCAGAAAAUUUUGGAGCAUUAAUAGUUUCAUACUCCGAAAUUGGUGGGCAUGUGUUGACACCGUUUUUGGGCACGUGUCCAGGAUGGCUGGAUAAGAUGACAGUAUGUGGUUUACAGGAUGAGUUGCCGAUGAGGAUGGUUGCCGAUGAAGGAGAGGCUGGACGUGACUAAGUUUACAGAUGAUGAUGUGUCUGUGCCGAUGACUAUGAUGAGGAGGUCUGCCGAUGACCAUGGCAAAAGAGUCUGCCGAUGAUACAGAGGGGGAGUCUGGAAGCUGUUGAUCGGGUUGUGGAAGAAUUUCAAUUUGUCACGAGGGAUAACUGAGUUAUUUCCUUAUUUGUUUAAAUCGUUUUGUAUGCGAAUUCCGUGUAAUUUGGAAUUCGAAUUCUGGUCGUGUUUAGUUAUAGCUCUUUGAGCGGGGUAUAAAUAUGGACCCUAGGGCUUUGUAAUGAGACAUCUAUCAAUCAAUCAAUCAAACACACGUUUUUACUCAUAUUCCAGAAUCUACUUUUCGACGACUUCGUCAUACUUUUUUCCUUUUAUUACGAGUUCUUAGGAAUUCGUCGACUUAAGCUCGGCGUGUUCUCAAGUUCCGUGUGAGUACCUCUUAGCCGUGACAUCCGGGCGCAUCGCUGUUGUCAGGACUAAAGUAUUCGAGUUAUCACCUUUGCCGAUAGUAAGGUCAAAUCGGCUGGCAUGCCUUAACGUUUGAAUUGGGUAUUAGCCCUUUGUGUUUGCAGAUUAAUUUUGCACCAACAGUAUCAAGAUGGCUCCAUUUGAAGCUUUGUACGGUCGGAAGUGUCGAACCCCGUUGAAUUGGGUAGAAGCUGGAGAGCGAAGGUUUUAUGGCAUCGAUUUCGUGAACGAAGCGGAGCAGAAAGUCCGUACCAUCCAGCAACAUCUGGAAGCUGCUCAAGCUCGUCAGAAAAGUUAUGCCGACAAGAGAAGGAAGCCGAUUGAGUUUUCAGUUGGUGACCAUGUGUACAUCAAGGUGUCUCCAAUGAAGGGUGUACAAAGGUUCAGCGUCAAGCGAAAGCUUGCACCUCACUAUGUGGGACCUUAUCGGAUUCUCGAAAAGAAAGGGAAUGUGGCCUACAAAGUUCAACUCCCAGUUGCGCUUCGAGCUAUUUUUCCUGUCUUCCACGUAUCACAAUUGAAGAAAUGCCUUCGUGUACCGGAGGAACGAGUGGAAGUUCGAGAUAUCAAGUUGAAGUCAGACUUGGUGUAUGAGGAGAAACCCGUAGCGAUCCUUGAUCGCAAGGAACGGGAGACGCAUAAUCGGGUGGUUAAGCUCUACAAGGUGUUUUGGAGCAACCACGGGGAAGAAGAUGCCACUUGGGAGACGGAGGAUAAUUUAAAAGAAGUUUACAAAACCUUCUUCGAAAAUCAGUAAGCUUUCAAAUCUCGGGACGAGAUUUUUGUAAGGGGGGAGGGCUGUAACACCCUAGUGUUAUGGUAGCAUUGAUCAUGUGCAUAGCAUGAGCAUCAUCAUCUACUCAAAGCAUAUCAUGAUCAUCAUCUAUCUUGAGGCAUGUCAUUCUAUGCAAAAUUGUGAUUUAAAUUGCUUAAAUAGGCCUCCUAUGCUUAUGUUUGAGUGAACAAUGCUUGUGUUUGUGCUUAAUGCCUUGGUAAUUAGUUUAUCUAUGCUUAACUUAACUUUGGGAACAAUGUUCAUGUUGAUCACUUCUCCAAAAUAAUCACUUAAGUCAUACUUAUGCAAAUAGGCCCUAGAAACCUCUUUUGCUUAGGCUUUUAACAAGUGUUUCAUAUAAUGUUUGCAUGUCAAAACUUCCUACAGAAAAGUUGUAGCAAAUUUUAUAAGGAACAAAAGUUGUUUUAUGGCCAUCUCAUGAAAAUGAUCACAAAUAGCUCAAAAGUGGCCCACAAGGCAGUUUUAGGGUGGUUUCCUAUACUUAGAAAAAUUUCUAAGUCCUGGGUGCUUUGCAGUUUGCUCGAGGGGGUGUUCUUCAUCUUCCCGUUUGAAUUCUAGGCCGAAUCAAGCUGUGACCUUGUAAGCAAUGUUGGAGUACUCGUGUAGCUCUCCAGCAUGGAGCAUUUAGCCAGCAAAAUCAUCGAGUGAUUAAGGAGUAAACUGUCGUGCAAAACCGAGUUUCAGUCGGUUUGGGGGAACUGAAUCGCGUCGUCGUCAGACAGGGGGAGCUCGCCGGUGUGCCGCGUGUCUGGACUCGUGGCGUCCGUACGUCGCCGUUGGCCCCACCCGUCAGUCCUCCGCGCGUCCUUCAGCUCGCCACGGCGCCCCCGGUCGCAUGGACAGAGCCAUUCCGCUCCCGGUGUCCUCUCUCUCGCGCGCGUCGUCGUUUCCGCGUCGCCGCCGUUGCUUCGGCGAGCUCGCGCGCGCGCAUCUCCGUGUCUCCGGUCAAGCUACUCCGUCCAGUGCUCCGCAAGCCUCUCCUCUCCACCGUCGUCGAGCUGGUUGCGACUGCCGAGCCUCGGUGAGCCCGCAUUGCCUGCUCCGACGCGAGCUUACCUCGCCGGAGUUCCGCCAUGGUCACCGGCGUCGUGGCCAGGGCUCUGUAGUCCACCAUUCCUUCUCAUUCUUGUCCCAAAAGCUUCGCUAGGUCUUGCUGUUGCUCGUCCGCGUUCUCUUCUGCUCUGUCUCCGGCCAGAGACGCCGGCGGUCGGCCGCGCGCCACCGCCGUGCCGCCAUUCGCGAGGGCAAGGUACCUAGGGUCCGGUAGAGUUAGGGUUUUGGGUACCGCUAGAUGCGGAAUGCAGUGGGGAGCACGAUGGUGCCCUUGGCCAGCGCCGAGACCACGCCGUCGACGAGAUCUCCGGCGGUCAAGCCGCGCCUCUGCUUCCGGGUCACUGGCAGGUGGGGUCCGUUGACGCGCGGGUCCCCUCUGUCAGUCUCUCUUUCUCCUUUGUUUAAAUCAGGGUUUGAGCUGAUUUUGUAAAAAUCAUAUCUCUAGUUCUGCUGAUCCAAAAAUGUUGAAACAAAUUUUGUGGUGUUUCUUGAGAUGGCUAGUAUUUAAUAAAAAUAUAAAAUGAACCAUUUUUUUUUCUGAGAAAUUAUUUAUUAAGGAUUUAAUCUUGUUAUUCAUCAAUAAAUGCAUAUCUCUGGUUAUACUGCUUAGUUUACUCUGAACAUUUUAUGGUAGUAUCUGUUUGGUAUGGGAGUGCUUUGAUAAUUAUUUCAUUAUUUUUGGAGCCAUGCAGCUUUGUUAUGUAAAUUAUGACUGAAAUGUGGCUUGUUUCCUUAAUUAAAUCAUAUAAAAUAAUUGGUGCUUAUGCUGGUGUUCUACUUUGAUGGUAAACUUGUUUAUGGUAUUCUUAAGAUGUAAAUAAUCUGAAAUCUGUUGUUUGACACCAUAUAGGUCAUGUUUCUGAAUUUAUGAAAUAAAUGCCUUGAUACAUAUUAAAUACAUAUCUUUAUUUUGGUAUGUGCAAUUGCUGUGAAAUUUUUAUGGUGAUACUUUGACGAUGUCGUUGUGCUUCUGUAAUUUUUAUAGGUUUUUCUGAGCACUUUGACUGGUAUCUUGUAAUUAUGCUCUUAUUUAGAAUUAAUUAAUAAAUGCCUUGUUAAGUAAUUGUUUUGGGGUUUCCAUCUGGUGUUCUGGUUGUAUUAUAAUAUGCUUAGGGUCAUAAGCCAUGUGGUUGGCAUGGUUUGUGUCUUGGUCAUGUCAUUAAAUAAUUAACUUUAGGGUUAAAUGCUGUUCUGGACAGCAAGGGAGCAAUUUAACUGUUACUUAAUGAUAACUUGACUUUCUGUGAAACUUGUCUAAAUCAAAGUUGUUCUAAAUUUGUUGAACUAGCUGUGGUUUAAAUUUUAGGUCAUUUGGCCAAGUAGUUUAAAAGUUAUAGCUGUUCCAAGUUGGGUUCCAGAAAUAGGGGUUCUCUGUUUUUCUGGGACAGAACCUGGAACUUUGUUUAAAAUGACUAGUUUAAUGUUUGAAUCUUACUGUCAUGUUUGAAGAUGAGUUGUAGACAAUUUCAUAAGCUUUCCAGAAUGUCUUCACACAUGUUUGUUGGACCUGUAUAUCUUUAGCUAUGAUUUAAUUACUAAGUAUACUUGUUUUGUGUUGCUUGCUGUUUUGGUAGCAUGAUAGGUUUUGGGUUACACUAACUUGUUUACUUGUGUGAGCUUGUAUAACUUUUGCUCCGUAAAUGAGUGUCCAGUGAGUUGCUUGUGUUAUUAAGCAUUCAUCUGUAGCAUGUGCACCUUCUCAUUCAUCGAGCAUGCAAUAGGUGCACCGGACGUGGCAGUCUCCUUCGAGCUCCAAGCGAACCCCGAAGGCCAGGAAGGCAGCCAGGAGGUGGAGGUCCAGCAAGCCAGACUCGAGGAGCCCGAAGAAGAAGUUGAGUGCCCGAAUCACGAGCCGGCAUCGUUCGUGAAAGGCAAGCCCCGGAGCAUUCUAAGUCUCCCUCUAUUUUCGAAAGUUUACUUAAUAUGUUAUAUCUAUUGAUGCAUUACGUAUAGGAGUUGUGAUGAAACUGUUGCUGCAUUCAACUCUAUCCUUGUCCAGAUAACUCACCCUCCCUGGUUGUAGAGUUAGGAUCGAGUAGCAGCUAAGCUAUGCUUUAAUCAGUAGAAGCCGGGUGAUAUCCUGUCAUCCGCGCGAUAUAGGGUUAUGUCGGAUCACGAUGGUCUAUAUGUGCAAUCGUGGAUGGAACCUGAUUAAAUUGACUUAAGCCGGGCGGAGUUUUGCAGGUUUGUAGUAACUCCGUCUGUGGCAGCUAAGGACCGAUCGUUGUACGUCCUCUUGUCAUGUUGAACGCAUGCCUGACACUUAGUUGGCCGGAUAACUCAUUCCGACCGCGAAGCCGAGUAGUAUGACUCAGGCCGGAAGACCGGCAAGUAUAAAGUGCGCACUACCGGAGGAAGUGCGGUGUGCGGGGGACCAUUGGCGUAAGUCCAAAGGCAGGUGAGUUAAAAUUCCUAACCUCCCUGGCAGAGUGGUAGCCCUGGGAGUGCGGCGCUGAUCGGAGCCGCGAUUCCUGAGUUGUACCAAAGGUGACCCGUUGGCUCUCCGGCAGGGGAUGCUUGGGUGAGUGCUAGGAAUAAACCUCCAGCUGGAUAGGAAUUCGAUUCGAAUCGCCGUCUCUCCCGGUUAGUGAGAACUUGACAGAGCAGCGGCAAACGUAGCAUUCACUAAUGAACUUGGUUCAUGAUAAUGAUGAUGGCAAGAACAACAUAUGAUGAAUUUGAUAUGGUUAUUAUUGUUUGUAAUAAUCAAGUGAUGUGUUGUAGUACAGGUGCUAAUCUAGUGAUAGGCUGAUGAUAAAUAAAUAUGAUGCUUCCAAAAUAACUUAAUUGUAAUUUAAGCUUUUGGCAAAAGGUGAGUCAACCAGCUCCACUUAACAUUUAGCCUUGCAUGAUCCUAGGUGUCUUUUAUGUUUUACUAGACGGGUAAGUCUAGCUGAGUACAUUCUCGUACUCAGGGUUUAUUUCCAUCUGUUGCAGAUGACAUCUUCUAUGACGGUUUCUGCAAGACCUGUCUCCAUCCCGCUGGGGAUGAGGACUAACCGUUGGGCACAGUUCUCUAAUCUUCUCGUCUAUGAUGCUUUUGGAAGGAUGGCAUAGACUCUGGCAGUAACAAAACUUGUGAACUGAACUUUGAACAAGUGUGUGUAAUUAUUUUGCUUCCGCUACUUCGAACUUGAGUUGUAAUAAAUUAAUGACUCCGAUGUGGUGCUGCUUCGACGGCAAUGAAUGACUAUGUAACAUUCGUUGUGUUUAUGUUGAACUAUUACGAUCUUGGUUUGUUGCGAGUUGGUUUGAAGUCCUUCGUGAUUUCGAUUGACUACCGGGAUUAUAUGGGCUCAAGUUUGGAAACUUGAUUGAUUGUCGAUCGUUUCUACACUUGAACUCUUAUAAUUUGGUCGGUUCUGUGACAUACUCUGCCUUCAAACCUUCAGUCAACCGAAGCAAACGGAACUUUUGUUCCACCGUGUUCAACCAUUCUUCAGCUUGAAGGGGUUCUUCAGCCUCUCUGAAAGAUGGGGGCUUAGUAUCCAUGAAGUCCUUGAAGCUACUGUACUGAUUUGGAGCUGGCCAUUCAUGUGCAUUACGACCACCCUGAUUGGCCAUCCGAUUGAUGGUCUCAGUGAGCAUCCUCUGAUUUUCUACCAUCAUCUGCAUUAACUCAGCAGGAUUUGGUGGUGGAGGAGGAGGGGGUGGAUUCAUGUUUGCACGCUGUUCCGCACCUCGGGUGCCACGAGACAUCUGUAAAGACACAGUCAGUGAGCAUUGAUGAUGACAAGAUUUGCCGCAGAAGAACUUAUAUUUAUGCCUGCAAGUAUUCGAGAGAAUAGCUUUACAGAAAAAGGCACAAUAAUUCACUUGCACAAAACAACAUCACCAAUCCAACACAUGACAAAGAUAUCCGCAAUACGCACCACAACGGAAAACAUCGUCAUAACAUAACAAACACGUUAAGAUUGCACAUUGGGUCCAUAACAAACACGUUAAGUUAUUACACCAUCACAGUACAUGCCAUGAGUCAAGGUCCAAGUUCCGGAUUACAACAUGGUUACAAAAGCACCACGGCUGACUGGCAAACGACAAAAGAUCCUCACAAAACACUACUCCAUACUCCCUACACUCCAGGCUCGUCGUCCGAGUCAGCGUCGAAGAUCGCCUCUCCAUCCUCGUCGCUAACCGGCUCAAGCUCCUCAUCCUCCACGGCCUCGUGUAAAGGUGGGGCAGCUGCUGCUGGUCCAUCGACCUCCAUACCAUCAUCAUCGGCCACUAUCACCUGAGGUCCCACCUCUGGAUACACGGGUAUAGGACGAGGAAUAGGGUGUAGCAAGUUGUUGAUACGAUGAAUCUCCACAAGACCAGCCCCAAUCUGAUUCUGUAGAUAGUUCUCCCGCUCAAGUAACUGAACUCGGUGCAUCUCCCAUGCUUGGCGCCUGUUCUCCGACACGCGGAGUGCAGUGUCCCUCUCACGAGUGAUCUGCACCAAGUGCUCUUGCACUGUCUCCUUCUCUCUAGCUAACUGACUCAUCUGAUCCUGCUUAUGAUCUCUCUCUCUAAUGGCCUUCACCCACUGCUGCCUACGGUACUCCGCAAUGCCCUCCCAGUCAUUGCGGUCCUUCUGAGCUUGCUCCAGGAGUCUAGCUUGCUUGCGAAACUUGCGAGCACGCUUUUCAGCCUUCCGUUGCAUCUCCUGAGCUCGGCGAACAGCUACCAUCACUUGUGCAUAGGUGUCCUCUCACUGACUGAUCAGCUUGAGCACAGCCAUCAUAGCACUCAUAGCAGGACUAGAACUCUCAGCUCUCUCGCCUGCCUCGAACCAAAGCACAACCAUCAGCCUGUUUCCACUCCGCUGCUGCUGGGUCGGCACGGGGAAUGGAGGCCGCUGGUCCUCCCGUCAGCUCAUCACCACACCUCUGACAGAUAUCGAGCAGGAUAGUCUGGGCUGCAACCUGAGCUGCCUCCCAAGGAGUCUGCCCAUUUGAGCUACAAGUCCAGCCUGUCCAUGCAGGCUGGUCCCCAUGUGGAGGGACAACUCCCUGCACAGCAAACCACUGUAUCCCUCCUGUGCUCUCCAACUCCAACCAAGAAUACUGAGGUGGCUCAGUAUACCCGACAGUCUGUAACACUCUCCAGAGCAGGGUAGGAGUGCCAAACUCGUGCAAUAAAGUGUCACUGGGACGAGCUAAAGCGGGUGCGUCCAUCUGUGGAAAUGGAAUAGGAAUACCACGGGUAAAGGAGGAUUAGUUAAGCAACAUUUAUUUAUUUAAAAAGGGACGAAAUUGUAAGGGAAGGAGUAGACAGAAUGUAUGUAUGAAUGCAACAUGAUGCAUGCACGAACCGUACGUCCUCACAAACUUAGAAAAUUAAUAUUCUAGCGGAUAUACGGUGGCAUACAUUCGUCUCUCGAUACGAUAACUAUCGAUAUACACGUGAGCUGUUAGAGUACCUGCAGAAACUUCAUUUCAGCCCAACAGUUCCCAAUAUAUCACUCAAGAAAGCAGUAAACUAAGUGCACAUUGCUUGGACAUGCCCAACAUGCACAAACAAUGACACCACAGCUACCCGAGAAAUUAAAUGCUCCCUAAUUAAGUUUCUUUCAUGGUGCCAUGGUUUUGACAUGUAACCACUCCAGAAAACCACCGCGAACACUCCCCUAGACCACCGUUUGGACGAUCAUGCUCUCACAGCUCACACUUACCAAAGCGUAGGUGCGACGUUGCAUAAUUUAAAUCUAGCGACAUAUGUGUCUAAUUCACAUAUGAAGGCUACCUCCACCAUUAGACCACAGGGUAGCAUAGUGCGGUCAUCACACAUCCAUACCUGAGUACUGCCGGAGAUGCAUAAAUAAAACCCUCCAAGUCAGUACUUAAAUAGCCACCUAUAGUCCUUAUGUGGGCAAGGAGGAUUCGACCACUGGCAUAACUUAAUUAUUGAUGUACACCAUUUUAUUUAAAAACUCUUUUGUUUUUAAAUACACAAACGCUGCAUUUAUAAUGCUGAACUUGCUCCGAUGCCAGCUGUCACAGAACUGACCAAAUUAUUAGAGUUCAAGUGUAGAAACGAUCGCCAAGCAAUCAAGUUUCCAAACUUGAGCCCAUAUAAUCCCGGUAGUCAAUUGAAAUCACGAAGGACUUCAAACCAACUCGUAACAAACCAAGAUCGUAAUAGUUCAACAUAAACACAGCGAAGGUUACAUAGUCAUUCAUUGCCGUCGAAGCGGCACCACAUCGGAGUUAUUAAGUUAUUACAACACAAGUUCAAAGUAGUGGAAGCAAAAUAAUUACACACGCUUGUUCAAAGUUCAGUUCUUAAGUUCGAGUUACUGCCAGAGUCUAUGCCAUCCUUCCAAAAGCAUCAGAUACGAGAUUGUUAGAGAACCGUGCCCGACGGUUUGUCCUCAUCCCCAGCGGGAUGGAGACAGGUCUUGCAGAAGCCGUCAUAAAAGAUGUCAUCUGCAACAGGUGGGAAUAAACCCUGAGUACGAGGAUGUACGCAGCUAGACUUACCCAUCUAGUAAAACAUAAAAGACACCAAGGAUCAUGCAAGGCUAAGAUAUAAAAGUAGAGCUGGUUGACUCGACAUUUUUGCCAAAAGCCUUUAUUAAGACUAACCCAAUGUAAGAGCAUCAUUUUUAUUUACCAUCAGCCUACUACUAGAUUAGCACCUGUACUACAACACAUCACUUGAUUAUUACAAGCAAUAAUAACCAUAUCAAGUUCAUCAUAUUUUCCUCUUGCUAUCAUCAUUAUCAUGAACCAAGUUCAUUAGUGAAUGCUACGUUUGCCGCUGCUCUGUCAAGUUCUCACUAACCGGGAGAAACGGCGAUUCGAAUCGAAUUCCUAUCCAGCUGGAGGGUUAUUCCUAGCACUCACCCAAGCAUCCCCCGUCGGAGAGCCAACGGGUCACCUUUGGUGCAACUUAGGAAUCGCGGCUCCGAUCAGCGCCGCACUCCCAGGGCUACCACUCUGCCAGGGAGGUCAGGAAUUUUAACUCACCUGCCUUUGGGCUUACGCCAAUGGUCCCCCGCACACCACUCUUCCUCCGGUAGUGCGCACUUUAUACUUGCCGGUCUUCCAGCCUGAGUCAUACUACUCGGCUUCGUGGUCGGAACGAGUUAUCCGGCCAACUAAGUGUUAGGCAUGCGUUCAACAUGACAAGAGGACGUACAACGAUCGGUCCUUAGCUGCCACAGACGGAGUUACUACAAACUUGCAAAACUUCGCCCGGCUUAAGUCAAAUUAAUCAGGUGACAGGAUAUCACGCAGGUGACAUAUAGACCAUCGUGAUCCGACAUAACCCUAUAUCGCGCAGGUGACAGGAUAUCACCCGACUUCUACCGAUUAAAGCAUGGCUAAGCUGCUACUCGAUCCUAACUCUAUAACCAGGUAGUGGAAAGAUAUCUGGACAAGGAUUGAGUAAAAUGCAGCAAAGGUUUCAUCACAACUCCUAUACUUAAUGCAGCAAUAUAUAUAACAUAUUAAAUAAACUUUCAAAAGUAAAAGGGAGGUUUAGAAUGCUCCGGGGCUUGCCUUUCACGAACGAAGCUGGCUCGUGAUUUGGGCACUCAACUUCUUCUCCUUCGGGCUCCUCGAGUCUGACUUGCUGGACCUCCACUUCCGGGUUGCCCUCCUGACCUUCGGGAAUCCCUUGCAGAUCGAAGGAGACUGCCGUGUCCGAUGCACCUAUUGCAUGCUCGGUGAAUAAGAAGGUGUGCAUAUAAAAGAAUGAAUGCUUGAUAACAUAAUGGAUUCACUGGGCACUCAUUUACGGAGUACACAGUUAUAACAAGUUCACACAAGCUAACAAGUUAACCUAAUCCAAAACUUACCAUGAUACUACGACAGCAAGCAACAUAAAACAGGAGUAACUCAGUAAAUAAAUCCUAACUAAUGAUAGACAGAUCCAACAAACAUAAGUGAAUACAUUCUGGAAAGCUUAAGAAAUUGUCUACAAUUCAUCUUUAAACAUCGCAGCAAGAUUCAUAUAUUAAACCAAUCAUUUAAACCAGGUUCCAGGUUCUGUCCCAGAAAAACAGAGAGCACCUAUUUCUGGAACCCAACUUGGAACAGCUAUAACUUUUAAACUACUUGGCCAAAUGACCUCAAAUUUAAACCACAGCUAGUUCAAUAAGUUUACAACAACUUUGAUUUAGACAAGUUCCACAGAAGGCCAAGGUAUCAUUAAGAAAAAGUUAAAUCACCUCCUUGCUGUCCAGAACAGCCUUUAACCCUUUAAUUAAUUAUUUUAUGACAUAACCAAAACACAAACCAUGCCAACCACAUGGCUUAUGAGCACAAGCAUAUCACAAGAUUACCAGAACAUCAGAUGAUAACCCUCAAACAUAUACUUAACAAGGCAUUUAUUAAUUACUUCUAGAAAGAAGCAUAAUUACAAGAUGCCUAGUCAAACUGCUCAGAACAAUCUACAAAAAUUACAGGAACACAAGUAAAGCAUCAAAGCAUCACCAUAAAAAUUUCACAGCAAUUGCACAUACCAAAUUAAAGAUAUGUAUUUGACAUGUGCCCAAGGGUUUAUUUCAUAAUUUUAGAAACAUGACUUAUAUGGUGUCAAACAAUAGAUUUCAAAUUAUUUACAUAUGAGGAAUACCACAAACAUGUUUACUACCAAAGUAGAGUACCAGCAUAAGCACCAAUUAUUUUAUAUAAUUUAAUCAAGGAAACAAGCCAAAUUUCAGUCAUAAAUUACAUAUCAAAGCUGCAGUACUCCAAAAAUCAUGAAAUAUUUACCAAAGCACUCUAAUACCAUACAGAGGCUACCAUAAAAUUUUCAGAGCAAACUAAGCAGUAUAGCAAGAGAUAUGAAUUUAUCCAUGAAUAACAAGAUUAAAUCCUUAAUAAAUAUUUUUCCAGAAAACAUGGUUCAUUUUAUAUUUUUAUUAAAAACUAGCCAUCUCAGGGAACACCACAAAAUUGUUUUCACAAUUUUUGAAUCUCAGAAAUGGGAGAUAUGAUUUUUGCAAGAAAACCAAAAAUCAGGAUUUUGAAUAAAGAAAACGAGGGAAAGAGAGUGACGCUGACAGUGGACCCCGCCUGUCAGGGUCGUCUUCCUCACGGCCGAGGCGACUUUCGCCGGCGAUUUCUCCGCGACGGUGAGGUCUCCGGCCAAACCAAGGGCACCAACGUGAUCCCCAGACUCUAGCGACUCGAUUGACCCCCUUUUCCCCAUGGCGAAGCCACCAGAAAGGGCUCGCCGUCGACGAUGGCGGCUCGGCGGAGGUGCUCGGCGUUACGCCGGAGCCCUCAGACCAGUAGAGCGCGACCUAAGACCUUCUACAGCACCAGCGAACUACGGCGGAGCUUCCUAGGUACGCGGCUUGGCUUGAAACCUCGUGGAACACGCUGGCCACGAGAGCACCCAUCUCCGGCGGAAACACGGCGGCGCUGCGCAUCGUGUCCGACGACGGAGAGCUCGGUAGAGCGUCCACCAAGUGGCGCAAACGCAAGCUAGGAACCUAAGCAACCUCUAGGACCUAACCGGAGACGACGAGAGGCUUCACAGGGCUCGGCAUUGGGCUCGCCGAAAAAGAUGGUCACGGCGACCCGAUUUGGGGGAAGAAGGGAAUGGCGGCUCACCGGUGGAUUUCAUGGUGAGAUGGUGGGUGGAGAAUGGAGAGCGGUUCACGGUGGAGCUGUGGGUGGAGUUUGGUGACCAAUGGCGCAGCAAGGAACGCGCGCGAGCUCGCCGGAGUAGGCUCGCGACGGAGAGCUCACGGCGACCGCGUUUCUGGCGAGAGGGGCGAGGCAGAGCAGAAGUGGACGUGUCCACUCUGCUCGGAGCGUCACCGUGGACGUCAUGCGCGCGCUGGGAGCUGACGAGCGGGGCCAUCGCCGGCGUACGGACGACAUCUGGCAGAUAGGUGGCGCUCUGGCCAUCCCCGACGGUGAGCUCGGCUUCGAUUCAGAGAACACGGCGACCGACUGACAGAGCGACUUCAGCAACGGAUAACUCCCAAUCCAGCCCGAGAUAGAAGAUGAUGCAGUUGACAAAGUUGAAGUUUCAAUCGAGUUCUACAACUUUGUCAACAAGAGCAAAAGCCAGAUCGGCCGGGAUUGAGAGAUAUAGAGUUUUCAAAAUCGAUCAAGCAAUCUGGUUUCGUUCCAAGACUUAGAAAGUUUUCUAAGUGUUGGAAACAGCCCCAAAUCUGCCUUGUGGGUCACUUUUGAGCUAUUUGUGAUCAUUUUCAUGAGAUGGCCAUAAAACAACUUUUGUUCCUUAUAAAAUUUGCUAUAACUUUUCUGUAGAAAGUUUUGACAUGAAAACAUUUUAUGAAACACUUUUUAAAAGCCUAAAAAAAAGAGGUUUCUAGGGCCUAUUUACACAAGUAUGACUUAAGGACAUAUUUUGGAGAAGUGAUCAACAUGAACAUUGUUCCCAAGGUUAAGUUAAGCAUAGAUAAACUAAUUACCAAGGCAUAGAGCAAAAACACAAGCAUGGUUCACUCAAACAUAAGCAUAGGAAGCCCAUUUAAGCACUUUAAAACACAAUUUUGCAUAGAAUGACAUGGCUCAAGAUAGAUGAUGAUCAUGAUAUGCUUUGAGUAGAUGAUGAUGCCUAUGCUAUGCACAUGAUCAAUGCAACCAUAACACUGGGGUGUUACAGCAGAGGGGCGCGCGCGGCUCUACACCACUCCCGCGGCCGCGCGGCAUAGGCGCCCGUGAUCCUCAUCGGAUCACUGUAGCAGAGCAUAUCCCCAGCAUUUCUAUUUUUUUAAAAAUACUUCCAAAUUUUGAAUAGAAGUCAAAUUUCUAUCAAAAUAAAACUUGUUCAGAAUUUUGAAUGCUACAAAACAUCUUUAAGGAUCCAAAGCUGAUUUUGAAUGGAGAGGGACGAAUUUGAGGCAAACAUUUUGAAAUUCAGAAUUUCAAUUUGGGGUCAAAACUGGUUUGAAUUGGGGCAGAAUAGAAAUUCCAAAAUUACUUUUGAUUUUUCUCAACUACUUGAAAAACUCCCAAAAUAAAAGUUGUUCAUUUUGAUGAGCUCUACAACUUUCAUUUUGAUCACUUCUCAAGAUUCCAAAUAGAUUUGAAUUAGGGAUUCAAAUUGAAAAGGUGGCAAUUUUUGGAAAUCUGUAUUUUUUAAAUUACUUUGAAUUUUGUAUUGGAGCUCGUUGAUAUUUGGUAACGCAAUCAGGAAAUGAUCCGCAAGCACACGAAUAUCGGUGAGCACUUCACCCGAGAGGUUAUCUAGAGUAUCGUAUUUAUAUUUUUACCACUAGGAGAAAGCGUGCAUCUGACUAACCAAAUCUAUUACUACUAACCUUAAGGCUACAACCACUUUGAUUUGAUGUGAGCGAUGUAUGGAGAAGACUAAAACUGUACCCUCGUUCUAACCUUGGUAAGGAUGAUCUACUGCUCUAUUGGGGAGACUUACGGAAUCUAGACACCACAGAGGAUGUUCGACCCGCACCUAUAAACCCUAUCAAUCGUGCUAACGGGAUUAUGGGCUACAAAGGUAGCUACGAAAAUGUCAUGUUCCUCGCUACUACCACGGUCCAGCUAGACAGGGGAUAUCAAUGAGUAUCCUAGCCCAAACACCAUGUUUACGCUAGCGAUGAUUUCUCUAAACUCUAUGCGAAGAGAUUAAAGUAAACUCACAAACCAAAGAACAAUAAAACAAAGAACUUACUAGAAUUUAGAAGUCGAAAUACUGAAGAAUCUUAGGAGACUUGAUCUCGUAGGUACAACCUCGGAGUAGACACCGACAGGCCGGGCUUCCUCCGAUCUAUACCUCCACUCUAUCUCUCUCGAUCUAGAAGAACUAAGUCUAAUCUCACAUUGGAUGCUAAGCCCUAUGAGGUUGCAACCCUAGGGAACCUCUCUCUGAAUCCUCUCUAGAAAAUAUGCUAAUGAAUAAUGGAGAUUGCCCUCCUCCAGGGGCCAGGGGUCCUGCUUAUAUAGCCCCCUCAAGUGAAUCUAGGCCGUCGGAUCAAACCGACCUUAAUUGAAUGGUUUUCCUUAAUCCUUAGAGGCGGUGGAGCAUAAUCCGCGUGAUGGAGCCUGAUUGGCUGCCUGGCCAGGGCGGGCGCCCAGGGGGGUAGGGUGGGUGCCCUGCCUGUGGGCCUACUCGGCCUCCCGCUCGCUCGUGUUGCUUCUAGACUCUUCUAGACCGAGGAAAAUUGGUGCACAAGUUAAUAUCUCUAUGUAAACCUGACGUGUGGGCCUUUCCUCCAUAUAUCCUGAUAACCACCUACAGAAAUAGAUAAAUAGCAAAACUCGUGGAAUUCUGUCAGAUCGAACUAUAAUUAUAGGUGUUGCUUGCAUAUAGGUCCUUUUCCUUAUUUAUUUGACGAUUAAAAUUGAUACUUAAGAACCGUCAACAAACACCCCCAUACAUAGGCUUUUACUCGUCCUCGAGAAAAGGAUGGUUCAGAAAAACAUCUGGGGUUAAAACAUUGUAAAGCAUUCUUUUCAUACAUGCAGGGUGUAGUAAAAAUGUCCAGGGAAAUAUAUGGUCAAAGUAGAGAUCCUUUCUUCUUCUCAACCCUGUCACUUGGAGUUUUUGUAUAUUUUUUAAAAGAUAACUUAGCAUACCUUUAUUCUCAUAGGUACUCUCAGAUCACUCAUUAUCUUUUAUAUAUCUCACUGAGGCUGUUUUAAUUUGCUAAAAUUCUUAAUCAUACUUUCCCUGUAUUUAUUGCUUGGUCAAAACGGGAUCCGAUGAGAGGAAUGCCAUACUCUUAGAUCCAAGACUUUAAAAACUUGUCAACUCUUACUGUCAUAUUGCUUAUUAGAGGGACCAUGGGCUAUAUUUUCUUUUUAUCAUAUUUUUAUCAUCUCAUCAUUUUUCUAGGUGGAUACCAGAGUACACCUAAUUCUACUAUCGGACACUUGUCCAUUUUUUCUGCGAGGUUGUCGAGCACUUGCUCCUUUUUAUUUUCUCAAAAUUCAUAUUUUUGCAUAGCUCAUGCCUCUAACGCAAUAAUACUUCGGAAGAGUGAAUCUUUCUGAACAAAAAUGUCUUGGUCUUAGGAGCAUGAUAAAUCUCUCAACAAGGGUCUAACUCGUUUUGAACAAAUUCAAUACAAAGCAGAUAGCUUUUAUUAUCAUAAUUAAUAUUGUCAAGUUCAGCAGACAUGUAAAACACUGAGGAUGGUAGCUAUAUUUGUGAAGUUUUUAAAAUAAAUUAUCCAAGUGACAAAGAUAUCAAGAAUAAGGUACUCAUAGUCUACCAUCUCACAUUCCACAGUGACUUGAGCCGCACAGGGGUUUUAAAAAUGAUUUUUCAAUAAUUCCAGAGUGAGAUUAAUCAUGAUUAUAAAUAUUUUUAUCUUUUUAAUAUAUCAUGUUAGAGACAAUAUUCUGCACGGACCAAGAUAUGUGUGUAUGUGUGUAAAUAAAGCGUGCAGAGUAUGUACCUGAAUCGUGGAGUGGUGUGGUCGAAGUUUGUUUGGCAUGUCGCGGGAUCUCCCCCAUACUUGUUUCCUGCUUUCUUGCAUAAAAAUGAAGUGGAGACACACAAGGCAUAAUAAUAAUGAUUUUUAUUUAUCUUGAGGCAUUUAUUACAACCGACUAAUGAAUAAUGAACUGAAUCUAAUAAUAGAUCUAAACCUUAUCUAAUCGAAUCUAAUAAAUAACUAAGAUACAUUGCCUCAAGGUCUAAUCUAGAUAACUCAGCAGCGCUCUAACUCCCUGAUCCUAUUAGUAGCACUAGAAAGGUCACGUCUAAGACCGAGCACAAUGGUGUUCAGGUUAGAGAGCUGCCUAUUAAGGGAGUUAACUGAGGACUGAAGCUCCAUGAUAAGCUUGUCUAUCCUAUAGACUUCCUCAUCUACAUCUGCUACAGUCUUGUGGCGCUUAGGAGGUGUCUCGAAGGAGUUGAGGGCAUGCUUCGGGGCAUCCUUUGGAGGGAUGAAGCAAACUUUCGGUAUUCUGACCCCUUCGAAGUAGGGCCUCUCCUCCUCCGUGGUGUAGCGGACGCUGCUGAUCUCACCGCUCCGGUUGGUCUUUACUCCUAUGACCCGCUCAUUGGGUCUAGGCGGCAGGAUCCUCGUGCUGGCUGGCACCUUGACGAUGACCUCCUGCUUGGCUGACGACCCCUUAAGAAGUUGGGGCAGCGGUGGCGCGGUGAGAACUGGUUGGGCAUAGAAGCAUUGGGUGGAGCUGCACUGGAGAGAUGGCAUGGCUGCUAGCUGUCGCUCUGUGUUGGCUGGGACGAGAGCGUAGGCAUCGGGGUCUUCCUUGGGUUUCUUGUUGAGGUCGUAGGGAACGAAUUCCCAAUCAUCGUGGAACUUGUCGGCCAUUGGAGCAGCGAGGGACUAAGGAGCUCUAAUUGAGGAAGGAAAGAAUGAUUGAAUGAAUUGAUGUUGAGAGCUAACGUCAGGGGUCUGUUUAUAUAGGGGCCAAAAGUGCCUCUAGGGUUUUCCACGGGUUACUCCCGCCGCCAUGCGUGCGUAACAACCCAUCCGUAGGGUUUUGUGUAUAGAGAUGGGCGAGAUCAUCACAACGGAAGAGACCACGGCUGAGGGGACACAGGGGUAGGGCGCCCGCCCUGGCUCUGGCCCCACUGUGGGCCCGCUUGCUCAAGCGUGUUUCUAUAUUUAUGCCGAAAAAUAUAUACAUGGCCCAAAAACGUUAGAUUAAAAAGGUCGGGGUCUAAUUCUCUAUCGGAAGGUAAAAAUGGAUCACGUCUAUUUCUUCUAAUUCUUUAUUGGGUUCUAAAAAUAAUUUAAGACGUUGACCAUUUACCUUGAAUAACGUACCUUCGUCAUUUUGGAGUGUGAUAGCUCCGUGGGAGGAUAAAUUGAUUACCUUGUAUGGUCCUUCCCAUUUACUCCAGAGUUUUCCAUGGCUGACAAGCUUCACCCUAGAAUUAAAAAGUAAUACCUUAUCUCCGGGUGAGAACUCCUUCUUCUUGAUCCUCUUGUCAUGCCAUCUUUUGACUCUCCCUUUGUAGAUCUUUGAAUUGUGAUAUGCUUUCUCUCGCCAUUCCUCCAAUUCUGAUAAUUGCAUUCUUCUAUGAUCUUCAACAACAUCUAUGUCCAUAUUCCAUCUCCUUAUGGCCUAGUGUACUUUGAACUCUAGUUCAAUAGGUAGGUGGCAAGUCUUCCCGUACACCGAUUGGUAUGGAGACAUUCCAAUUGGGGUCUUGUAUGCUGUCUGGUACACCCAGAGUGCAUCGGGUAACUUGUCCAUCCAUGUCGUUCCCAUCUCAUUUACUGUCUUCUGAAGAAUGUUCUUGAUUUGCUUGUUGGAAGUCUAUGCUUGGCCACUUGUCUGAGGAUGAUAGGGGGUAGCGACAUUGUGACGAAUUCCAUGUCUUGAUAGAUAGUGCUCGAAGCGUUUCUUGAUGAAAUGUGUUCCUCCAUCACUUAUCACUACUCUAGGUACUCCAAAUCAAAUAUGAUUUCUUCAAACACCUCUUUGAACCGAUGUUGUCAGUGUGCUUGCAAGGUCGUGCCUCUACCCACUUGGAGACGUAGUCAACUGCCACUAAGAUGAACUCACACUUCUUUGAUGGGGAAAAUGGACCCAUGUAGUGUAUUCCCCAAAUAUCAAAGAGCUCUAUCUGAAGGUUGUUGAUGAGUGGCAUGGCAUCUCUUGUAUUUAUGUUUCCGUGCCUUUAACAUGGCCCACAUUCUCUGAUAUAUUGCUUCGUGUCUUCAUACAUUGUAGGCCAAUAGAAUCCACACUGCCUGAUCUUUGAAUGUGUACGGAAUGCUCCAUAAUGACCUCCGUAUGGUGAUGAAUGACAUCUGUCGAUGAUCUUCCAUCCUUCCUCAGUGGUCACACAUCUCCUGAGCAAGCCAUCAGAGCAUACACGGAUGAGGUAUGGCUCAUCCCAUAUGUGUGAACGACUUUCUUGAAUAAGCUUCUUCUUGUUCGCUCCUAGUGGUACAUACCCUGAAACCAUAAAAUUAACAAUAUCUGCAUACCAGGGGCUAGACCUAUUGAUUCUGUAGAGCAUGUCGUCUCGGAGUGAAUCAUUGAUGGGUGUUUCCUGUGGAUUCUUAAAGUGCAUUCUAGACAAGUGAUCAGCAACAUAAUUUUCUACUCCCUUUUUAUCUUUUAUUUCUAGGUCAAAUUCUUGGAGUAGCAAGAUCCAUCUAAUUAGGUGAGGUUUAGCAUCUUUUUUAGUGAGCAGAUAUUUAAGUGCAGCAUGAUUAGGGUAAAUAAUUAUUUUAGCUCCAACUAAUUAAGAUCUAAAUUUAUCAAUGGCAAAGACAAUAGCCAGAAGCUCUUUUUCAGUGGUUGCCUAAUUAAGUUGAGCUCCUGUCAAAGUUUUACUGGCGUAAUCAAUUGCAUGAUGCUUCUUAUCUUUAGUUUGUCCCUAAACUGCCCCCACAGCAUAAUCACUAGCAUCACACAUAUUUUCAAAAGGCAACAACCAAUCAGGGGAUUGAAUGAUUGGUGCAGAGAUGAGUGCAUUCUUUAAUAAUUCAAAAGCUGUUAAACAUGCAUCAUCAAAUUUGAAAGUAGCAUCCUUGGCUAGCAAAAGAGUAAGUGGUCUAGUAAUGAAUGAAAAAUCUUUUAUGAAUCUAUAAUAAAAACCGGCAUGGCCAAGAAAGCUUCGAAUCCCUUUUACAUUCACAGGUGGAGGUAGUUGUUCAAUUACUUCAAUUUUAGCUUUGUCUACCUCAAUACCUCUUUGAGACACUAGGUGUCCCAAUACUAUUCCUUCCCUAACCAUAAAAUGACAUUUUUCCCAAUUAAGGACUAAGUGCUUUACUUCACAUCUUUGCAAAAACUUGUCUAAGUUUUCAAGACAACUAUCAAAAGUUUUUCCAUUUACAGAGAAAUCAUCCAUGAAAACUUCCAUAGUCUCUUCAAUCAUAUCAGAAAAUAUAGACAUCAUGCAUCUUUAAAAAGAAGCUGGUGCAUUACAUAACCCAAAAGGCAUUCUACGGUAAGCAUAAGUUCCGUAAGGGCAUGUAAAAGUGGUUUUGCUUUGAUCAUCAGGAUGGAUCGAGAUCUGGUGAUACCCUGAAUAUCCAUCCAAGAAACAGAAGAACGAAUGGUACGCUAACCGCUCUAGCAUCUGAUCUAUAAAAGGUAAAGGAAAAUGAUCCCUUUUUGUGGCUUUGUUUAGCUUUCUAUAGUCUAUGCACAUCCGCCACCCUGUGACGGUGCGUUGUGGAAUUAGCUCGUUCUUUUCAUUCGUAACAACAGUCAUGCCUCCCUUCUUAGGCACAACUUGAAUAGGGCUCACUCACUCACUAUGUGGCACAGGAUAUAUAAUCACUGCAUUCAACAACUUUAUAACUUCCUUUUUAACAACUUCCCUCAUCACGUUGUUAAGUCCACGUUGGGGCUCUCGAGAAGGUUAAACAGAAGGAUCUGUCCGAAUACGAUGGGUACAAAUCAUAGGACUGAUUUCUGUAAGAUCUUGGAGUGAGUAGCCAAAGACUGAGUGAUGUUUUUCUAGAACGGUCAUUAAUCGCAGAGUUUGCUCCUGAGUGAGUUUAUCACUAAUGAUCAUAUGAAACUGGAUUAUUAUUUAGGAAAGCAUAGGCAAGACCGGGUGGUAAAGUUUUAAGCUCUAUGGGAGGUCUUGGUGUUUCUGUAAAUUCAUCUAAGGGUUCAGGUUCAGAAGGUUCAGCCUCUUCUUCUUUGAAGAACGGGGCUUCUUCCUCCAAGUCUGGUUCAUUUAAAAGCUCUAGAGACGCAGCCUUUACCUCUUCCAUAGUAUCAGGCAGAAGAUAUGACUCGGUCUUAUGAUUCAAGGAAUGAGAAAUCGUUAUUGGAAAUUUAAAAAUUUUUCCGAAAGAAAUGUGUAGCUUUCCAGUUUGACCUUCAUAAAGGAGUCUUCUAAAAGGUUGUCCAAUCAACAGGUCGAAGUCCCAUGUAUCAAAGAUAUAAAAGUUCAAAUGAACCAUGGAGUCUUCUACAAAAAAGGGUAGGACAUUUAUAAUUCCAAGACUGGGGACUAAUAGUCCUGAAUAUUCCUUUAUGAACUUUGUUGUGGGGGUUAAAACUAAUUUUCCAAAUAAUUUAUGUGCAAAAGUUUGAGACAUGAUAUUGAUCCCUACAACAGGAUUAUAGAGAGCAUCAAAUUGAUUAGAAUCAUAAGCAUAGUGUAUAGUUAUAUGAGGUGUAUCCAAACGGAUCAGUUCAGAGGAAAGCUCUGACUCUUCUAACCAUUCGCUACUCAUGACUGAAAUAAGCUCUCUCAAUUGAUAUUCAUUUGGUAAACAAAUGCUAGAAUGGCCGCUUUGGGGUUUGUUUAUAGAAUGGUAGUUUGAAAUGUUUCCAAAAUCGGCAAAAAGAUCAGAUUCUAUAUCCAACAUGAAAUCAGGUGGUGGAAUUUCUUCCUUUUGCGGUUCAGAACUUGGGAUAGCUGAAGCAGAUGAAAAAUUUGGCAGAGUGUCUACUUCGGCUUCGUAGGUUUUAUCAUGGAGGGUAUUAUCUAUCUCAACUUAUAGGAUUCUAUCUAAGAUCGCUUUAGCUUCAUCAGUUGGGAUACGAAAGAAGGAACCUCUAGACAUUGUAUGUAGCAUUCGUUUAUGAUCUUUCUAAAGACCUCGAAAGAAGUGAAAAACAAGAACAGGGUCGUCAAGAUUAUGAUUUGGACCAGAUUCUAAAAGAUCAGAAAAACGUUUCUAGGAUUUUCCCAAAGUUUCAUUUUCUUUUUAUUUAAAAGAUAGAACUUCGAGUCGAAGGUCACCGAUACGGUCGAGGGAAUAAAAAUCUAGGCAAAAGUUGGCUCGUAAAACUCCCCAUUCACCUCGUUGUUCACUUAUCUUCUGACUAUACCAUCGUCUAGCUUCUCCCCUUAAUAAAAAAGCAAAAAGCUUCCAACAUAAAGUUUUACCAGAAAUGCCUUCAAUGCGAAGACAAUCGCAUGUUUGCUCAAAAUCUCUAAUAUGAAGGUAAGGGUUUUCGUCUUCCUUUCCCGAAAAAGAUAGGUUUUGAAUCAUGGCAAUCAACCUCGAACUUAACCUAUACUGGGAUGUUUGGAUAGGCUGUGAUGACUCCCAUGGUAAAAGGUCAGUUUCCGAAGGUGUUGCAAAUUGAUAGAUCGAUUUAGAAUUUUGGUUUUCCAUAAGGUAACAGUAAAGAAAAUAAAGAAUAUAAAAAGAUAAGAAAAGAUAAAAGUAUGAAUAUGUCGACGAAAGCUAGUCGGCAGUCUACCUUGGGGUAUACCCACGGUAGUAGUUUAUCGGUAGACGGUGCGCAAACUACGAACUCGAUGGUGACGCAAGACACGGACAAGCUUUUUAUCCAGGUUCGGCCGCCGAGUUGGCGUAAUACCUACGUCCUGCGUCUGGUUGUAUUGAUUUGUGUUGAGAGAAUAUGAUGUCCUAGGGGGGUCCCUUGCCCCUCCUUAUAUAGUCUGGAGGGCAGGGUUACAGAUCUGGAAACUAAUCCUAGUCGGUUACAAUUGCCAUGGAUAAUUCGAUAUCAAUUCCUAUUCUAACCGACUAGAAUCCUGCUUGAUCUCCACAUCUUGUUUCCUUGCGCGAAACUCCAGGUUGUCGGAUCAAGCCUUGAACUCGUCUCGUAAUGGGCCAAGCCUCCUGGCCAAAGUCUAGCCGUAAGGGUAUAGGGGUUUAUACCCCCACAGCUAGUCCCCGAGCACCAUGUAUUGUGAUGUAACACGCCGUCUUGAGCUUCUUCGAUCAGUGAGACUUGACGUCUUCAAUAAGUGGGAAAGUCGCCCAAACAGUUGCAACGGUUCUUUGACCAACCCAAAAACAGUUGAUCAACACUGACAUCGAAGAAGCGAGUUGUUCGAAGAAUGCGUGGUGCUCUAAAUUAAAAAAGAUUUCUUUCCUGGUGAAGUGUGCCCACUUUACUUUUUUGAAAGGUAUAAACAUCAAAAAAGCAAGCAUAUUCACCGCAAGGUGAAGUGUGCCCACUUAGUCCCCGAGCCUGGUAGUAGGUGACGUAGGCACGUGGUGCCAGGAUCAAAAUAAAAGUCCUCAAAGAAAUUCUGUAACUGAGAUGCAUCGCCAGAUGCAUCGUACCGAUGUAGUCCCCGAGCUUGCUGGAAGGCGAAGUAUGAGCCUUGUAGCAAGGUCUAAAAAAUUGAAUUUACCAGUCCGUCUGCAAUUGAAUAGACUAAUCGACCAGUCCCCGGGUGUAUAAUAGUAUGACGACCAGUCCCCAAGUACCAAGUGCGCUCCUUAGAAUUCUGCGUUGCUAUACUGUACGACCAGUCCCCGAGCGUCGAGUGCUCGGUGGCCGGUGCAGUCCUUGAAGUUCCGAGCUGAUAGACUGGGCGACCAGUCCCCGAGCGUCGAGUGCUCGGUGGUCGGUGCAGUCCUUGAAGUUCCGAGCUGAUAGACUGGGCGACCAGUCCCCGAGCGUCGAGUGCUCGGUGGUCGGUGCAGUCCUUGAAGUUCCGAGCUGAUAGACUGGGCGACCAGUCCCCGAGCGUCGAGUGCUCGGUGGUCGGUGCAGUCCCCGGACUGUUGGCUCUCUGGCAUAUUUGUCUUCUUUUUAUUGAAACGAUCUUUUCAGUUAAAGUUGACGUGACGAGACCUCCUGAUGGGUUGUCAGAUGGACGCAUGGAAAGUUGCGCCUGGCAACUGUACAGCCGCUCUUUGCGUGGUUUGAGAAAAAGGGAACCAUCAAUUGGUACGAAAACUCCGCCGCAUUAAUCGUCUAUAAUCAUUAUAAACCGAAACGCCGCAUCCGCCGCAUGGCCCGCCCACUUCCCGAGAAUACGGGAAGUGGGAGAGGUGGAAUUGCGGGUUAUAAAAGCCUGACAGUUCCGCCUGUGCUCCUUACCUUGCCAUUGCCCUCAAGCCUUCCAUUUUCGCCUCCUUCAAUCACCUGCGUCUUUGUAACCCAAGUCCACUUCUCACCUCCAAUGGCGAAGAGCAACGCCAAGAAGAGGGCUGAACUGAUGGCCAAGGAGUGGAAGAAAUCCCGCAGCACCACCAAAUCCCUCGGUGACCUCGUCGACAUGGGACUCCUGCACAGCUCGGAGCUCGGCGGCUGGAGAGCACCGGAAGGAGAAAGCUUCCCCGACCCUCGUGCCAGUGAGAUCGUCGUGUUUGAAGAUUUCGUUAAGAGGGGCUUUGGGGUUCCGGUUCAUCCUUUUCUCCAAGGUCUUCUUCUGUAUUAUGAGAUCGGGAUUUGCAAUCUGCACCCGAACUCAAUUCUCCUUAUUUCCACGUUUAUUCAUCUGUGCGAGGCCUAUGUUGGCAUAGAGCCGCACUUCGAUCUUUUUCGUUACCUUUUCUGCUUGAGGAAGAAGGGAGCAGUUGGAGGCUCCAAGGUUGCAGGUGGAGUGUACCUCAACCUUCAUGAUGGAAUGAAGAAUCACUACCUGCACUGUCCAUGGAACACUUCCUUGACCGAAUGGUAUAGGAAGUGGUUCUACAUCAGGGAGGAACCGGGCAGCUCCACGUUCUGCGACGUGGGGUACAUUCCCGAGAAGAGGGUAAGCUGGACCGACCGCCCGGAGUUCGACGGUCAAGUGGCGGAUCUGAUGAAGCUGAUCGACUGGUCGCGCCUGGAUGGACUUGGCGUGGUCGGCAACUUCAUUUGUCGUCGGGUGAUGCCCUGCCAGAAGCGGGUGCACUCGGCGUACGAGUAUUCCGGAAGCGUGGACCCGACCAGGAUGCGACCGGAGAUCUUGGAGAAAGCGGAGGUACAACGGCUGUUGAACGAGCUGUUCAACUUUGUGGACGGAGGCUUCAUCCGCGGCAGUGAUCGGGUGCAAGCCUUCAAAUUAGGCCGACCAGCACCAAAGGUAUAUUGCAGAGUAUUUUGUUUUAGCAUUCGUAUAUCGUCUGUAGCUGACUCAUCUUUGUUGCUUUGGCAGAUCGGCGAUGUCGACCGGUGCACAGUGUAUGUAUCACUGGCACCGGGGAUGGAGAAUCCUGCGGGAGAAGACUUGCCAGAAAGCAAUGCUGCUAGGUGUACUCGUUACACCAGCAGCGAGGAGGAACAAGCCCGCCCCGUCCCGACCACCGAGGAUAGGAUAGCGGGGAAAAGGCCAUUGCCGGCAGAUCCGUUGCCGACACCGAUGUUGCCGGCAGAUCUACCGGCGGAGAGCAGCCGAGCGCCGAAGCGUCGUCGGCUCGUGCGGAUCGUUGACGACGACGACGACGACGAGGAGGCUGCGCCGUCAUUAGUCCGACGGCCUCGGAGCUGCCCAGAUGAUGCGCCGGCCGCUGCUGAUCGAGUGGCCAGCGACCCCCCUGCACCACAAGUUGUGGAGAUGGGGGCGCAGGUGCCGACCGGCCGGGCGAGGAGGAGGUUCACCGCGACCCACCGUCGAUCAGACCUGUAAGUGUUCGACUUAUGUAUUUUGGACUCCUCUUUGCCCCCUUUUUUUUAAUUAUACUUUCGCUCCUGUAGUGCGGCGUCGGAUGUCGACCCCGGCCAGGCUGCCAGCCAGGGGAUGGGCGAGCCUGUCCACGCUGCUGAAGAUACGGCCCCCCUGACCACAGAGCAGCCUACCGCUGCAGCCGCGCCUGGGAGCACCGAGGGGCUCCCGACCGCGGCACCGACUACGACAGGCAGCCCGACCAGGGCUGAAGAGGCUCCCCCAGCUGGCUCCACAGAAGAGGAGGGGAGGUCCCCGACACCUCCUCCUGCCGGGGGGAGUGAAGUCCCCACGCCGCCCCGAGCAGGAACCUCUUCGGCUGCAGGCUCCCCAGGUCUGGUCCGAGGGCCAGUAAUGCCUGGGACCACCACCGAGGGUGACGCAGCGCAGGAGGAGGAAACCCGGGCGGCCUCCGAUGACGAGGUGGAAGAGAUUGAGGGUCGUCCCCGUGAUGGCCGCCAACACGUGUAUGUGUGGUGCCAACGCGGGGAUCAUUUUAUCGGGCAUGAGGAGCUCGCCGAGACCGAGGAGGCCGCCAGGGUGGAGCGUGCGGCCAAGCGCCUCGUCGACGAAGUCAAGGUAAGCGACUUUUUGUACUGCUGUACAUUCUAUGCCUUGUCUUGCAUGGUCGUUAUAUGCUCGCUUUGUAGGGCGCGAUGAAAACGGCAAAGUACCGGAAACGGUGCUUUGACCAGAUAGAAGGCGUCGUGGCCGAGAACAAGGCCCUUGCUGCGGAGGUAGACCGGCUGCGGUCGGAAGUCGGAGAGAAGGUUGCCGAGAUGAGUGCCCAAGAGGAGCGUCGUCUCGACCUCACUCGUCGCUUGGCCGACCAGUUCCGGCAGCGAGAAGGUUAGUCACGCGCUCCGAACAGCUCUGCGUACUUGUGUAGCUUGCUUUACUGACCAGUUUACGAUUCACGCAGACUUGGAGGAGGAGGUGGCGCGCCUCCGACAAGAGAAGGAUCAGCUUAGUCAACAGCUCGCCGGUGCGCUGGAGUCCGGACGGCGAGCGGGAGAGGAGUUGGGUCGAAAGGACCGGGAAUUAUCUGGUAAUGGGUGCCGCCUUGUUAACUACUGCUUGUCGCCCCUUUGUUUGUUUGGUAUGCCAAAAAUAACGCUUUGUUUCGUUUGCAGUGCUCAAGGUGAACGCCAAGAAGCACCUGGAUGAUCUGAUCAAGGACCGGGACUCCUGGAAGGUCAACUGUUGCAGGAUCUGGAAAGGAGUGUCUCCAGUCCUAGACCUGAUCAGUCCCGAGCUCCCGGAGAGCCAGCCCCGAGCGCCGCAGUUGACCCUAGUCGAGAAGGCGCAACGGGCGUGGGACUGGCUCCAGCAGUUCGUGAAGGACGCCGGGGAGUUUGCCGGCGCGCACGUCCUCAGCAUGGUGCGCGCCCACUACCCCCUGGUCGACUUGAGCAGGCUGGAGAAGGGGUACCCGAAGGAGGUCGGCCCACAGGAAGCGGACGAGCUUCGGGGUAGUCUGCUGGACUUGUCGUCGACAGUGAUCGGCGACAUCAAUCUGUGCGGAACGGCCACUCCCCCAGACCAGCCGAGUUCAGAUAAGUCGGCCAGGGAGUUGUCGGGCGCGUCCGUUGCAGGAGAUGGGCGGUCGACGCCUGCGGUCUCGACCAGCCAGGCGCCGGUGGCCCCGACCCCUUCGUCUGGGCAGCAGGGCCAGGCGGGUGAUCAACCCGAGCAGCUAGGCCAAUAGAGUAGUCUGUAGGAAUAGACUAGUGUCUGCCCGUCAGGGUAUUUAUUGUAAACUUUGUAUGUAAAGUUUGUAAUAAAGUUCGCUUUUUGUCAUGACUGUUGUUUUUGAGCGCUGUAAGAUUAUCUGAGUGACGUGUCACCGUAUUCGUCUUGGUAGUCGUUAAGAGCAUCCAUUGCAGGAGUUUUGCCGAGUGCUGUGUGCGACAAGGUAUAGACAAAAAAUAGAGAAUUGCAUUAUCAACAAUUAUAAGAUACUUACAGAGGAAAGUUAUUAAAAUUUUAUGGAUAAAAACGUCGCAGUUUGUCUAUGUGCCAAGAGUUAGGCACUCGUGUUCCGUCUGGGUAUGCCAAUCUGUAGGACGUAGGUCGUGUGACCUCGGUCACCACGAAGGGUCCUUCCCAGGGAGUGGAUAGCUUGUGCAUUCCCUCCUGGCUUGUUUUCCAUCGAAGUACCAGAUCGCCGACCACGAAGGAACGGUCCUUGACGUUCCUGUUGUAGUAUCGCCUGACUGCCGCGAGAUAUUUUGCUGUUCGGAGACAAGAAUCUAGACGCUUUUCCUCCAUGCAAUUGAUUUCGAGUUCUCUGGCGUUGUCGGCGGUCGCCUGGUCGAAGUGCUCGAUUCUAGGAGAUCCGAAGUGUAUGUCAGACGGCAGGACCGCCUCUGCACCGUACACCAUGAAGUAGGGGGACACCCCUGUUUUUCGACUGGUCUGAGUUCGGAGGCCCCAGACCACUGCCGACAAUUCUUUCAUCCAUCGAUCGGGUGCUCUGUCGUUUUCGGUGUACAACCUUUUCUUUAGGGCGUCAACGAUCAUUCCGUUAGCACGUUCAACUUGACCGUUGGCACGUGGAUGUGCCACUGACACGUAUUUUAUGACUAUGCCUCUGUCAUCGCAGAAGUCCCAAAAAGUGGUGCCAGUAAACUGAGUGCCCAAGUCGGUGAUUAUGCUGUUCGGGAUGCCGAAUCUGUGUAUAAUUUGAUUGAGGAACUCCACAGCCUUCUCGGAGGUUGCCUUGACCAGAGGCAUGUAUUCAAUCCACUUGGAGAACUUGUCGAUUAACACGAAAACAAACUUGAAAUUGCCCGGGGCUGGUUUAAACGGCCCGAUCAUGUCGAGCCCCCAGCAAGCAAAGGGCCAGGACGACGGGAUGGUUUGAAUUUCGUGGGCAGGUACGUGGGUCCUCUUAGCGAAAAACUGACAUGCUUCGCAAUGUCGAACCAGUUUUUCUGCGUCGCCGACCGCGGUUGGCCAAUAAAAACCUGCUCGGAAAGCCUUUCCGACCAGCGUUCUGGAUGCGGCGUGAUUGCCGCAGGAUCCAGCAUGUAUGUCCUCUAAGAGCUUGAUACCAUGAUCUUGGGGUAUGCACUUGAGCAGUACUUCGGAGCUUGCGUUUUUCCGCAUGAGUUUGCCGUCGACCAGGAUGUAAUUCUUUGAUCGUCGAAUGAGGCUCUCGUUCUCUGUCUUGUCCUGAAGGCCUGUCCCGUCCGAUAUAUAUUUGAUGAAUGGGGUACGCCAGUCACACCCACCGGUUAUCGGAGUGGCGUCGUCUAUGAGCAUUGCCUCGGUGGGUUGCUUGUCGACCAGGGAGGAGCCUACACUCGGCUCGCGGAUGUCCUGGACGAAAAUACCCCGCGGGAUCUGGGCCCGAGAUGAGCCUAACUUCGACAACGCAUCUGCUGCUUGGUUCUUAUCCCGGACCACGUGGAUGUACUCUAUGCCGUAGAAGUUGGUUUCCCAUUUGCGAAUUUCUUUGCAGUAGAGAUCCAUCUUCUCGUGGGUUGCGUCCCACUCCUUGUUGAGCUGGUUGAUGACCAAAGCGGAGUCGCCAUAGACAUAGAGGCGCUUGACUCCCAGUUCAACGGCUAGUCGUAUGCCAUGCAAGCAUGCUUCGUAUUCGGCGACGUUGUUUGACGCCGGAAAAAGGAUUCGAAGGACGUAACGCAGUUUGUCCUUGUUGGGUGAUACGAACAGUAUCCCAGCGCCGGCACCGUUGAUGUUCAAGGACCCGUCAAAGAACAUUGACCAGUGGUCUGAGACAUCGGGAACGGAAGGCUCGUUGAGAUCCGUCCAUUCGGCAAUGAAAUCGACCAGGGCCUGAGACUUGACAGUGGUGCGACUCUGGAACUCAAGGGAAAAUGGACAUAAUUCCAUUGCCCAUUUCACGAUCCUGCCAUUGGCGUCUUUAUUGCGCAGGAUGUCCCCGAGAGGGAAACUGGUUGUCACCAGGACUCGAUGGCCGUUGAAGUAGUGCUUCAGCUUUCUUGACGUUAUCAGAAUGGCGUAUAUAAGCUUCUGUAUUUGUGGAUACCUGGCCUUGGACUCGUUUAAGACUUCACUUAUGAAGUAAACGGGUCUCUGGACCUUGUAGGCAUGACCUGGUUCAUCUCGCUCGACCACUAUUGCCGUGGAAACAACCCUGUCGGUUGCAGCAAUGUAAAGAAGUAGGUCUUCAUUGGGCUGAGGCGCUGUGAGGACAGGUGGUGAAGUGAGGAAGGUCUUAAGCUGAGGGAACGCAGCGUUGGCUUCCUCUGUCCAAGAAAAUUUUUCUGACGCUUUCAAUAGUUUGAAGAAAGGGAGGCCUUUUUCUCCCAGCCUUGAGAUGAAACGACUGAGGGCGGCCAUACAUCCGGUUAGCUUUUGAAUAUCCUUGACGUUCUUCGGUGGUCGCAUGUCGAGUACGGCUUUGACUUUUGAAGGGUUUGGGCGUAUGCCGUCGCGACUGACAACGUUGCCGAGCAGUAGACCGGAAGGAACGCCGGAAACGCAUUUCUUGGGGUUGAGCUUCCACUUGUACCUAUUGAGUGCCUUGAAGGUUCGGUCUAAGUUGUCGAUUAGGGUGCUCACGUCCCUUGUUUUUACGACCACGUCGUCCACAUAGGCCUCGACGAGGUCAUCACGAAUCUCGUCAUGGAGGCAUUGCUGGAUGGCCCUUUGAUAGGUGGCUCCGGCGUUUUUGAGUCCGAAAGACAUGGUCGUGUAGCAGUAUGCGCCGAAAGGUGUGAUAAAGGAUGUUUUGAUCUGAUCUUCUUCCUUUAACGAAAUCUGGUGAUAACCAGAGUAGCAGUCUAGAAAGGAGAGGAGUUCGCAUCCGGCCGUUGAGUCGACCACCUCGUCGAUGCGAGGGAGACCAAAAGGAUCUUUAGGACAGUGUUUAUUGAGAUCAGUGUAAUCAACGCACAUUCUCCAUUCAUUAUUCUUUUUGCGUACAAGAACCGGAUUGGCGAGCCAAUCGGGGUGAUACACUUCUUUUAUGAAUCCGGCUGCUAGAAGCCGUGUUAUUUCUGUCCUAAUAGCCUCCUUUUUGUCGCGAGCGAACCGUCGCAGCUUUUGCUUGAUUGGUCUUGCGGUCUUCGAGACAUUUAAGGAGUGCUCGAUCAGGUUUCGUGGGACGCCGGGCAUGUCUGCGGGUUUCCAUGCGAAAACGCUUACGUUGUCCCUUAGAAACCUGACGAGCGCGUCUUCCUAUUUGGGAUCCAGGUUGGCCCCGAUGAGGGCCGUCUUCUCGGGGCUUCCGUCGACCAGCUGAACUUCCUUGUGCUCCUUGGAUUUUGAGUUCUCUCUGGCUGUCUCCUGCUCAGGUAAUCGGAGCUGGUCGGGAAGCAGCUGCGCGGCUUGAGUUGCUGUUUCUGCCAUGCAGGUUGAGAGGACGAUUGCUUCGGUGAUCUUGAAGCUCUCCUCUUCGCAGGUAUAUGCAGUGUAAACAUUGCCUCUGACGGUUAGGACACCCUUCUCCGUAGGCAUCUUAAGGACCAGGUAUGAGUAGUGCGGGACUGCCAUGAACUUUGUCAGCGAUGGUCGGCCCAGUAUAGCGUGAUAGGUCCCGUCGAAAUCGGCGACCACGAAGUUGAUGAACUCUGUCCGGAAGUGGUCGGGUGUGCCGAAUUGGACAGGCAAUGUUAUCUGCCCGAGAGGCACUGAACUUUGACCCGGCAAAACCCCCCAGAAUUGGGCGUCGUAAGGUUUUAGUUGUGCAGGAGAUAUCUUGAGGGCGGGCAGGCUGUUGCAAAAGAGGAUGUCAAUGGAGCUUCCCCCGUCCACGAGCACGCGCUCGAAUCUGAUGCUGUUGAUGCAAGGGUCCAGAAUCAAGGGGAAACGACCCGGCUCUGGGAUAGCGGCCCACUGGUCCUUCCUGCUGAACGAGAUCUCCCUGUGGGACCACGGGGGGAAUUUUGGGUCUGCGAUAAGCCCGUCCGUGCUGUCUAUGUUGAGGCAAGCUCUCUUUAAUAGCUUUCUUUCUCGCUUAGAUUCAAUGGAGACCUUGCCCCUGAAAAUGGAGUGGACCACGUCGGUGGGGCCGACGUACUGGUGUCGGGGGUCCCUAUCUUGGUCCUCGUCCUCAUCUUCGUGGUCGUGCCCGUCUCGCUUGUUGUUUUUCUUGGCGGAGUCGUCUUGGGCGGCCCGCCGUGUAUAGAUGCUUUUGAGGACGCGGCACUCUUCCAUGGUAUGAUUAGACUUUGGGUGCAGUUGGCAUGGUCCCUUCAACGUUUUGUUGUAGUCUUCUUGGUAGUCCCGUCGUCCGUUGGGACGCUUGACCGUGUUUACUUCGUGAUCGUAGUCGCGAGGGCGCUUUCCUCUGAAAUCGUCGCGGUUGUCGCGCCGCCGAUCCCAACCCUCUCAGUGAUCGUGGUUGUCGGAGCGGCGGUGGCUUCUGCUGUCGUAGCGACCACGACCAUCAUCUCGCCGGGAAGGCUGGUCGGGACCUCUCGCGUCGUCACGGAUUAGUUUUUCUGCGUCGUCGGCAUCGGCGUAAUUUUUGGCCGUGGCGAGGAGCUCUGCUACCGUUGUUGGACGUUUACGCAGCAGCUUGUUCCUCAGCGCUUCGUGGAAACGCAGGCCCUUGAUGAAGGCUGAGAUGGCCUCGUCAUGGGAAAUCUUCGGGAUUUUGAGGCGCAUAUCCGAGAAUCGUCGGAUGUAAUCGCGCAGGGGUUCGUUCUUCCUGUCCCUUAUCCUUUCGAGGUCAUACUUGUUGCCGGGCUGCUCGCAUGUGGCGAUGAAGUUGUCGAUGAAAGCCUGACGUAGCUCUUCCCAAGAGUCGAAGGAGUCCUCGGGCAAGCCAAGAAGCCACUGAUGACCAGCCUGGUCGAGGACUACGGGGAAGUAGUUAGCCAUGACAUGCUCAUCCCCUGCCGCUGAUCGGACGGCGAUUUCAUAGAGGGUGAUCCAGUUCUCUGGAUUUUCCUUGCCGUCGUAUUUUUUAAGUUUUUCGAGCUUAAAAUUGCGGGGCCACACGACCUGCCUGAGGUGUGAGGAGAAUUGUCUUAGGCCCGGAGGACCGUGCGUUGCAUCGUACUCGAUGCGGCGCAGGUUUUCGUGGACUGCUCUCUCUGCGGCGCGCCUGUUGAUGCGGUCCCGGGCAUCUUUGGGAGGGAUGUCGUGGCGGAGAUCCCUGUGCUGGUUUACUUCCUGGCCGCGUACGUGGUUCUGCUUGCGGCAACCGUCGGCGUCCCGACCACCAUCGUCGCGCCGUGAGUCCCCUCGACGGUUGUCGGGGGAGCGGCUGCGGUGACGCCUGCCGGGAGGCGGUGAGGCCCGGCUACGAUUAGUCUGGUCAGAGGCGGCUCCCGUAUAAGAGACGUCCUGGACUCUCUUGAGCAGAGUGGCUGUCUGUCCCAUUGCAGCGAUUAGGUGUGCUCGGAUGCUGGUCCGGACUCCCUGACAUUCGGGGGUAUCAGGAAGCCGAUCUAGGUUAGCCAUGGCGACAGCCACGUUAGCGCUUGGUGUUUUGUAGACUGGCUGGUCCCCGACCAUGUCAAAGGCAUCGUUGAGAUUAUUUGGUGGCAUUUGUUGUUGCUCGUCUGCGCGUCGUCGAGCGCGAUCGGCGUUGCGCUGUUCGCGGAGUUGCCUCUGGUCAUCUGUUUCUCCAUCAACGACCGGUUCGUCGGCGCUGACAUUGAACACAAUAUCCCCUCGCCGGGGGGGGGGAAUAUCGGAAAUCGGUCGAAACCCGGAGGGUGUGAAGGAAAAUCCAGGUCGUAGUCCUCGUCCUCGGUGUUUAUAACCUCGGUGGGUACGGAACCGGUGCUUGAGUUGGUGCUGGAAACCUGGCCGUCCCGUAGUUCUCGGAUUGUCACCAUGUUGACGUAGUGACGAUCGUUCCUUGUCGGCAACCAACCCGCCUUGCUGAAAACGGAUUGGGUGUGCUGUGAGUAAACAGAGGCCGAGUUGUUCAGGCCGCAAGGAUAAUCUUCCUUCUUGAGCUCGACGGAUCGUCCUGAGGGGGUUGAGGUUAUCGUCAGAGACGUUCCCAGCCGUUCGUGUGUGGCGACACGAGUUGGCCGGCGGGAUUUGAAAAAAUCCGCUGGAGCAGCUUGGUCGGGCCGAUGCAGAACUCCGUCUACUAGUUGGGAAACUUCGAGUAGCUUGGAGUCAGCGCGAUCAAGCGCUUGGAGAAGGUCCGAGCAGUCGAUCUUCUUUCCCUUGUAGAGUGGGAACGGUGGUCGGGCGCUCGGUGCCGUCACGCGUGUGGUCGGAGACGGCGUGAUCUCAGAUUGGAUCUGGAUCUCUUUCGAAACCGUGGUCGUGAGGCCGCCGCUACACGUCGUCCACGUGAUCUGGCCGACGGUGAACGUGAGGCCUUCGGGCACGGUCGCGGAAGCUGGGAUCGUGACCAUCUUGUUCGCCGGAAAAGUUGCACGCACACCCCCUACCUGGCGCGCCACUGUCGACGAAAGCUAGUCGGCAGUCUACCUUGGGGUAUACCCACGGUAGUAGUUUAUCGGUAGACGGUGCGCAAACUACGAACUCGAUGGUGACGCAAGACACGGACAAGCUUUUUAUCCAGGUUCGGCCGCCGAGUUGGCGUAAUACCUACGUCCUGCGUCUGGUUGUAUUGAUUUGUGUUGAGAGAAUAUGAUGUCCUAGGGGGGUCCCUUGCCCCUCCUUAUAUAGUCUGGAGGGCAAGGUUACAGAUCUGGAAACUAAUCCUAGUCGGUUACAAUUGCCAUGGAUAAUUCGAUAUCAAUUCCUAUUCUAACCGACUAGAAUCCUGCUUGAUCUCCACAUCUUGUUUCCUUGCGCGAAACUCCAGGUUGUCGGAUCAAGCCUUGAACUCGUCUCGUAAUGGGCCAAGCCUCCUGGACGAAGUCUAAACGUAAGGGUAUAGGGGUUUAUACCCCCACAGAAUACAAGCUAGUAGUAAGACUCAAGGUUAUCUCAGCAAACCGUCUUUCUCCCCGGCAACGGCACCAAAAAUGCUUGUUGAUAUUUGGUAACGCAAUCAGGACAUGAGCCGCAAGCGCACGGAUAUUGGUGAGCACUUCACCCGAGAGGUUAUCUAGAGUAUCGUAUUUGUAUUUUUACCACUAGGAGAAAACGUGCAUCUGACUAACCAAAUCUAUUACUACUAACCUUUAGGCUACAACCACUAUUGAUGAUACGACCAUGCCAGCGUCACCGACCUCUCCAGCUACAUCUCUGAUCCCUGCAGGACCGAUCACACGUAACCACGCUAAGAAAAUACAACAAGAGGUGCACGCGCUACUUUAUGAAUUUCAAUUAAACACUAAUGAGAACUUUAUGCUACCUAAAUCUUGUGUGUUAACAUUGCUUAGGUACACAAGAGAGAACGAGCAGAAUAUAUCAAGGGCGAACCAGGACGAAGAACCAAACUCGAGUCAGUCCAGCGUGAUGAAUGUGUCAAGAAGGAACAGUCAUAUCUUCUGACUUACAAAAGAUAUGAAGGUCAUUUAGGACUUGUUGGAAAGCUCGUGAAGUCUAUUUUAUAAUGCUUCUAACGCCGACCAGUUUGAAGUUUUCAUCAAGGCAUCCGACCAGUUUUAGUGUUGACUGGUCAGAGAGUCUGCAGUCUGCCUAAAGUCCAAAUAUUCGUAUUAAACUGUAUCAUUCUACAAGGUUUCAUGAAGCAAGGUGCACAUGGUGUGAAAGCUUAUCCAGUUAUCUUUCAAACGCAUCCAGCCACAUGUCAUUUGAAGCUUCCUAGAAGGAGUUAUUGUCAAAACACUAAACACUGCAUAGAGUCAAACAGUCACGCGGAAUCAGCAUCGGAGUCAUUCCGAGAAGGUCCUUUCACACUAGCGACGAGUUUAUUUUUAGUUUCGUGUUUUCACCUAUCCUGGAGGGUUGUUCCAUCUAUAAAUACUUCCCUAUGCAUCAUAUGUAAACAACUUUUGAUAAUUUGAGAUUAAUCCAAGUGAUUUCGCAGCCGAGCUGCUGAGUGUUCUUACACAACCCUGUUCUUCCUUGUUCUUCUUGAACUUGUGGGGAGAUUUCUCUGAGAUCCACUAAUUCGUGCUCUAUGGGUUUCAGUACGGCUGCCCCGUCUUGUGUGGAUUAGCUCCGGCUGUGGUUCUACGGUCGUUUGGAGAUCGAGUCGAAGUCUUCACGGUUUUGGUGCCUCUCUCCCCGUCGCUUGGUCGCAUCCAACCUUGGCAAGUAUAAAGAUAGUUAUCCGUUGUUCUUCAGCAACAUUAUCCUCUUCAUAUCGCUGUUCGUUAGCAAGUUAUCAUAUUUCCACUAUUACUUAGUAAGUAAUCUAGUUCAUAGACCUACAGUCGUGAAGAUCGGACCAACCUUAGUACCGAUCUCGGGUCGAUACCUAUCACGUAGUAUCAAAGAUUUCUGUUGUCACGGUAGGUCUUAUCGCCAUCCAUAUAUUUUUCCUUAUUGAUCUAUUACAUAUAUUUGUUUUGUCCUACAGUCCAAAGCCAUAAAAAUUACCUAUAACCCUUGGUGUUACUGUUUCCGUGUGUUUUUGUGUUCUUCAAGUUGCUAUUCACCAUCUUUAUAUAUUUUACAUUGUGUUUCAUUGGUUAUCCGCACCCCUCUUGGUGUAUAAAAAAACAAAAAAAAAUCAGAGAAGAAAGAUUAAAAAAAAGAGAGGAAAAAAAAAGAAAAGAAGUUGAAGGCGAUUUGUUGCGGUUUGUUUUCUGAAACUUUCAGAUUAUAUUUUCAGUUUGGUGGUGUUCUUGAUAGCAGUAAUUCACAUCUAUAGAACACAUCAAACCACUUGGUUUACAGUACCGUAUCUAUCCUUGUUUAACCACCUAUAGCUCCACAAAAAAAAAACUAAAACUGGGAUGUCGAAUCGUAGAGUCACACUAGUACAUGGGCACACUAUACAAGCGGUUGGUAACAUAUUUCUACAGGAGUUUUUCAGUACCGCCUGCGCUGGGGGCUAGUAGAAAUCGCCCAUUUCCACAGGCGGUUGCUUGAGAUCCGCCAGUAGAAACAAUUUACACAGGCGGUUCCCUAAGAGAGCCGCAUGUGGAAACCUAUUAAAAUAUGUAUUAUUUAUUUAUUUAUUAAUUUAUUUAUUAAUUUAUUUAUUAUUUUAUUGUUAUUAUUUAACUAUAUUGAUAUUGGUUGGUCUUCAAACAUAGCAACAUGCAAUUUAAAUACUUCAUCUCAUACAUACAUUUGUAUACAUCAAAGUUUGGUGCUCAAAAACAUAAAGUAAAUUACAAGAGUAUAUCCAUCAUCACACAUCAUAUAUAUAUGUACAUCAAAGUUUGUUUCUGUCCUCUAAUAACCCUCUUUAGUAAGUUUGAGCUUACUAAUCUCUGUUAGCACUCGGAACUGUGGACUGGAUAAUUGGCUUUCGUCAUCAUGAUAUUUGCCUUCACGUGGAAUGACAUGCUUCAUGAUGAACGAACAGAUGUCCUCAACUAUGUUGUCUAAAUCACGUUCGUACAUGCGCUCCGCCGUCCCUUGCUUAUAUACCUGCAAAGAAAGUUUAUAAACAUUAUAUAUUUUAUGACUUUCAACUUUAAUAGACUAUUACUUAUAUUACCUUGUCAGGGUUCCUUGCAUAUCGUCCGUUUUCUCUCAUGUUCUCGCACACGUAGUAGCCACAGAGGACCGAUAAGGGUGGUUGCUUCAUGCACUGUAUAACAGGAGAGUGGUUAUUUAAUUUUAGUUACAACUGUGGUCGUAUGUGUAUGAUUUGUAUUCAUAAUAGUAAAUUUUUAUACGUACUGGCCAGUUAUGUAUAACCUCGAAUGGAUUCCCUGGUCUCUUGGACUUGCACUUUCCAUGAUUUAUCUUAUAGAACCUAUAUGCCCUAUGAUCUCAAAUAGAAUCACCAUGUUAUUGUCAAAUUCUCACUAUGCUUAAGUAUGCAUGCAUAGCUUGACUUACAGCUCUAACAGUUUGAUGAAUGGAGUAUAGCUUUCUUUCGGUUAAUCUGCGGAGUCUAGUACCAACACCCUUCCCUCCUUGGGAUAAAUGAUGAAGCAUAUUCAGUGCCUCCUGCUCGAAUUAAAUCUAGGAUGCAUUUAUGCAUUGGAAUAGUUUAGACAGAUAUUUGUAAACUCACACUUACCGAAAGUGGUACGGUGCCACCACCGCUUUGGUGUCUUGAAACUUUAUUAGUAAAUGUCCAAUGUACAAGGCGUAUUUGGCUUCAAAAUCAAGUUUCAACUUUCGGAGUUUCUCAUCCCGUUUUGCACCUUCCAAACCCUAUACCUCUGUGCUGUCAUUUCCGAUCCUAAAUGUGUGCCGAUCUUCGGCUAUAUCUAUUGGGCAGAGAUAGGCAUUCCUUUCUUCGGCACAAUAAUUAAGGUCCGAACCAAAAUACAAAUCUUGUUGAUCAUAUAACAUUCUACAAGACAGAAGCAUGUGAGAUAUUGAAAAUUGAUGCAACUACAAUGUGUGUAACUAUGUAACACUUACAAUGCAAAUGUCGUUACGAUCUAUACAUCUAGCAUCUUGUGGUUCAUUAGUGCCCACAUGUCAUCAAUUGUAAGUAUACAUUUGUCAGUACUCUGGCUGAGAAAUGCUAUUUGUGGUAUGCGCAUGCUUAUGGUGUCGAUGCCAGUAGAAGAGACUCUCAUGUACCAGUCAUGAAACCUUUUUAUACCACUUGGUUUCUUCAUAAGUUUUGUCCGACUGAGUAGAGGCUUUCCCCACAUGUACUUUUUGGGGAUAUUCUUGUAGUAUUCUGUAGUUGGCACCUUGAAAUUGACAGGAGUUAUGACCUUAGGUGCCGACACCUCUGACUUUGCUAGCUCAAAAAUCUUAUGCUCUUGUACUGUGCGUUUCAAAGCAAUGCCUAAUAAAAAUCUCACUUGCCCAGCUAAUUUUUUCUUUGGCUCGUAUGGUGAAAUCAACUUAGGUAUCGGAAAUACUUUCUUCUUUGGCACCUUUGAUGGCUCACUCCUUGGUUCUGGAUCUUUGAGUUGUGGGGAAGGGGUGGAAUUGAAUGGUGGUGGAGAUUGUGUUGACUGUGGGGUAGAAAGAUCAUGGGGAGGAGAUGGUUGAUGGAUAGAGAAAACAUGGAGAGGUGAUUCUGGUGGGUCAGGAAGAGACUGGGGAGGUGAAGGCGGCGGGUUAGGAAGAGGAUCGACAUGAGCUGACGACUCCUGGGUGAGUGGCAUCUCUUGAGAGGGUGGUGGUGGCUCCCUUAGUUGCACGUCCCUCCGAGGCCAAAGGAUGAAAUUGUUCAUCGCCUGUCCUAGUUUCACAAUGUCAUCGGGACCAGGGAUGUCUAGAAUCUCAUCCUGAUAUCCUUGGACCACGGUUGAUACCUCUACUCUGCAGUAGUCUUUAGGAAUGUAAGCACCAUGGUAUUUAGGUCCUCCUGGGAUCGCUUUGCCCGUGGAUACUUCCCUUGUACGAUGAUUGUUAAUCCCAUAUCUUAUGACAAGGGAGCAAGGUGUAAAAGUAACAAUGUCGUCAACUGGAUAGUGAUCCUUGUUUGCCGUAGAUGCAACACUGCUUGGAAUGAUUAUUUCACUCGAUCCCAGCAACGGUAGCGACACCACUGGGACUAGCUGCAUUUGGGGAGCUUGAGUGCUCAUCUGUUGAUUUGACAUGACACUCGCUAGUUUCUGCAUCAACUCAGGAGGAGGAUUUUCUAGCAACUUCCCCAUCAUCUCUUGGAAGUCUUUCUUAGCCUCUUCCUGAAAAUAAUUUGCCAUUUGUUCCUUGUACCGAUCACGUUUCUUAUACUCAUUUUUCCAUUGAGGGCCGAAUCCAUCCUUCCAUCCUUCUUUGGAUGAGAUGCCUCGAACACGGCCAGGAUGCUCGGGGUUACCGAGGCCAACACUAAGGAUGUCCCUCUCCCUUCGUGGCGUAAACUUCCCUUCCUCCUGCAUGCCUGCGACUGCAAAGAUGCUCUUCAUUGCUUCAUCAAGCAUUGGGUCUUCAAAGGACACACCCGUCUCGGUUUCCUUUGGUUUCCGUGCACGGAUCCAAUUCGUGGACCUUUCACCGU